AAUGUAAAAUUUGGUUUUGCUGUUGUACCAUGUCACUUUGAAGUUCCUUGAUGUUAGCCUCUGAUUGCUGUAACUGAGCGAGUGCUGCAUUUUUCUCCGCUUGCAGUGCCAUAACCUCAUUAUACAGAUCAGUCUUUCCUGCUUCGAGGUCUUUAUUGGCCUCCUGAAGUUUUGAAAUCUCUUGGACUUGUUGUUCUAACUUGCUCUCAAGAUUAAUAACAGAAGUAGCAGGUUCAUUUUUUUGUCCUUGUAAUUCAACAAUUUCAUUAUGCAGGUUAGAAUUUGCCAGCUCCAGGCCUUCAUUAGUCUUCUGCAUAUCUGAAAUCCUCUCAAGUUGUUGUGCUAGCUCAGUCUUAAGAUUCAUCAAAGAAGCCUCUAGCUGCUCUAUCUCUGACAUGGCAGAAUCAUUAUCCUUCUGUAGCUCGGCAAUAUUACUUACAAGAAUCUUGAUAGAAGCCUCAGACUGCUGCAGAUCUGAAAUUAUUUUGUUCUUUUCAUCUUGUAGUGCUAAUAUUUCAGCUUGGUGACUAAACUUCGCCUCUUCCAGUUGCAUCUUCAACUUGGAGUUACUUUUUUGUAGGUCUUCAUUAGCAAGCUGCAGGUCAGAAAUUUGUUCAACUCGCUGGUCUAACAGAACUCCAAGGGUCUUGAGUGAAUCAUUUGACUUCUGUAAGCUAUUAAUGGCCUCUUCCUUCACUCCUUGUAGCACAAUGAUCUCAUCUUCCAGAUUAGUCCUUAUCUCUUCAAGUUGCUUGUGUAAACUAGAAUUUGUACUCUGCAGCUCUUCAUUUUCUCGCUGGAAAUAUGAAAUUUGGUUUUGCUGCUGUACCAGGUCACUUUGAAGUUUCUUGAUGUUAGCCUCUGAUUCCUGUAACUGGGCGAGUGCUGCAUUUUUCUCCUCUUGCAGUGCCGUAAUCUCAUUAUACAGGUCAGUCUUAGCUGCUUUAAGGUCUUUGUUGGCUUUCUGAAGAUUUGAAAUCUCUUGGACUUGUUGUUCUAACUUGCUCUCAAGAUUAAUAACAGAAUCAGCAGCUUCAUUUUUUUGUCCAUGUAAUUCUACAAUUUCAUUAUGCAGGUUAGAAUUUGCCAGCUCCAGGCCUUCAUUAGUCUUCUGCAUAUCUGAAAUCCGCUCAAGUUGUUGUGCUAGCUCAGUCUUAAGAUUCAUCAAAGAAGCCUCUAGCUGCUCUAUCUCUGACGUGGCAGAAUCAUUAUCCUUCUGUAGCUCGGCAAUAUUACUUACAAGAUUCUUGAUAGAAGCCUCAGACUGCUGCAGAUCUGAAAUUAUUUUGUUCUUUUCAUCUUGUUGUGCUAAUAUUUCAGCUUGGUGAAUAAACUUCGCCUGUUCUUGUUGCAUCUUCAACUGUGAGUUACUAUUUUGUAGGUCUUCAUUAGCAAGCUGCAGAACAGAAAUUUGUUCAACUGCCUGCUCUAACUGAGCUCCUAACGUCUUGACUGAAUCAUUGGACUGAUGUAAGUUGUUAAUGGCCUCUUCCUUCUCUCCUUGUAGCACAAUGAUCUCAUCUUGCAGAUUAGUCCUUAUCUCUUCAAGUUGCUUGUGUAACCUAGAAUUUGUACUCUGCAGCUCUUCAUUUUCUCGCUGGAAAAGUAAAAUUUGGUUUUGCUGCUGUACCAUGUCACUUUGAAGUUCCUUGAUGUUAGCCUCUGAUUGCUGUAACUGAGCGAGUGCUGCAUUUUUCUCCGCUUGCAGUGCCAUAACCUCAUUAUACAGAUCGCUCUUUCCUGCUUCGAGGUCUUUGUUGGCCUCCUGAAGUUUUGAAAUCUCUUGGACUUGUUGUUCUAACUUGCUCUCAAGAUUAAUAACUGAAGCAGCAGCUUCAUUUUUUUGUCCUUGUAAUUCUACCAUUUCAUUAUGUAGGUUAGAAUUUGCAAGCUCCAGACCUUCAUUAGUCUUCUGCAUAUCUGAAAUGCUCUCAAUCUGUUGUGCUAGCUCAGUUUUAAGAUUCAUCAAAGAAGCCUCUAGCUGCUCUAUCUUUGAGGUGGCACAAUCAUUAUCUUUCUGUAGCUCGGAAAUAUUACUUACAAGAUUCUGGAUAGAAGCCUCAGACUGCUGCAGAUCUGAAAUUAUUUUGUUCUUUUCAUCUUGUAGUGCUAAUAUUUCAGCUUGGUGACUAAACUUCGCCUCUUCCAGUUGCAUCUUCAACUUGGAGUUACUAUUUUGUAGGUCUUCAUUAGCAAGCUGCAGGUCAGAAAUUUGUUCCACUCGCUGGUCUAACAGAACUCCAAGGGUCUUGACUGAAUCAUUUGACUUCUGUAAGCUAUUAAUGGCCUCUUCCUUCACUCCUUGUAGCACAAUGAUCUCAUCUUGCAGAUUAGUUCUUAUCUCUUCAAGUUGCUUGUGUAAACUAGAAUUUGUACUCUGCAGCUCUUCAUUUUCUCGCUGGAAAUGUGAAAUUUGGUUCUGCUGCUGUACCAGGUCACUUUGAAGUUUCUUGAUGUUAGCCUCUGAUUCCUGUAACUGAGCGAGUGCUGUAUUUUUCUCCUCUUGCAGUGUCGUAACCUCAUUAUACAGAUCUGUCUUGGCUGCUUUGAGGUCUUUGUUGGCUUCCUGAAGAUUUGAAAUCUCUUGGACUUGUUGUUCUAACUUGCUCUCAAGAUUAAUAACAGAAGCAGCAGCUUCAUUUUUUUGUCCUUGUAAUUCUACAAUUUCAUUAUGCAGGUUAGAAUUUGCUAGUUCCAGGCCUUCAUUAGUCUUCUGCAUAUCUGAAAUCCUCUCAAGUUGUUGUGCUAGCUCAGUCUUAAGAUUCAUCAAAGAAAUCUCUAGCUGCUCUAUCUCUGAUGUCGCAGAAUCAUUAUCCUUUUGUAGCUCGGCAAUAUUACUUACAAGAUUCUUAAUAGAAGCCUCAGACUGCUGCAGAUCUGAAAUUAUUUUGUUCUUUUCAUCUUGUUGUGCUAAUAUUUCAGCUUGGUGACUAAACUUCGCCUGUUCUUGUUGCAUCUUCAACUGUGAGUUACUAUUUUGUAGGUCUUCAUUAGCAAGCUGCAGAACAGAAAUUUGUUCAACUGCCUGCUUUAACUGAGCUCCUAAGGUCUUGACUGAAUCAUUUGACUGAUGUAAGUUGUUAAUGGCCUCUUCCUUCUCUCCUUGUAGCACAAUGAUCUCAUCUUGCAGAGUAGUCCUUAUCUCUUCAAGUUGCUUGUGUAAACUAGAAUUUGUAUUCUGCAGCUCUUCAUUUUCUCGCUGGAAAAGUGAAAUUUGAUUUUGCUGUUGUACCAGGUCACUUUGAAGUUUCUUAAUGUUAGCCUCUGAUUGCUGUAACUGAGUGAGUGCUGUAUUUUUCUCCUCUUGCAGUAUUGUAACCUCAUUAUACAGAUCAGUCUUGGCUGCUUUGAGGUCUUUGUUGGCCUCCAGAAGAUUUGAAAUCUCUUGGACUUGUUGUUCUAACUUGCUCUCAAGAUUAAUAACUGAAGCAGCAGCUUCAUUUUUUUGUCCUUGUAAUUCAACAAUUUCAUUAUGCAGGUUAGAAUUUGCCAGCUCCAGGCCUUCAUUAGUCUUCUGCAUAUCUGAAAUCCGCUCAAGUUGUUGUGCUAGCUCAGUCUUAAGAUUCAUCAAAGAAGCCUCUAGCUGCUCUAUCUCUGAUGUGGCAGAAUCAUUAUCUUUCUGUAGCUCGGCAAUAUUACUAUUCAUAACAUUUAUUGUUGAUUUCAGUUCGUUUUCUAGAGCUUUAACACUAGACUGUGCCUUCUCUAACUCAUUCAAGUACAUUGAAUUUUCUGAUACUAGUCUUUCUUUUUCUUCUGCUGCAGUACGACGCUCCUUGUCCAGAUUGUUCAUUAGCUCUGCGGCCUCCACUUUAAGGCCUUCUAUCUCUAACCCCAGUUGCUGGAGUUUUCUUUCAGCUGAAUGAUUUUCUGUGAUCAAGGAUUCAUUUUUAGCGGUGAUUUCUGCAAUGGCUGCCUUCAGUUGAAAGCACUCAACAUCUAAAUUCUGAUGAAGUGCUUUCAGGUUAUCAUGCUCAACCAAUAGCAUCAAGUUAUCAUUCUUCAGCUUCUGGUUUUCUUCCAACAAGGUCUGCACUUCUUUCUCAGCCUGUUGGGCCUUCUCAACUUCUGCUGAUAGGAGGUUGCAUUUGUCCAUUGUUUCAUUCAGCUUAUUCCUCAGAUCUUCCUUCUCCUUCUCCAUGUCUACAAUUAACAUCUUCAGGUUAUCUCUCUCUUCUUCAAUAAUCUUCUUCUCACAAGACAAUGUUGUGACCUCAGUCUCCUUGGAUUUUACGGUGUUAAGCAAUUUUCCUUCCUCCCUUUUUGCAGUUUCAACUAACAAUUUCAUAUUUUCAUUCUCAGAUGACAAAUUUGCAAUCUCUGAACUUGUAGCUUCUUUAUCUUUGAUUGCUUUAUCAAUUAGCUGCUUCAGAUCAGAUAUUUCCUUGGCCUGUUCUUCUGUACUUUGUUUCAGCUUCUCAAUCUCUGCUUCCAUGUUAUGAUGCUCAGUAGGCUUAUGGUAUAGGUUGUUUUCUUCCUUCACUGCUACUUUUGGUGCAGUGACAUCAUUGUCUGAGCUGUCUCCUUCUGUGUCUGAAUCAGAUGAAUCUGAACCAGAGAAAUUGUAGCCAACAUUUUCUAGUUUGCUAAUUAGUUGCUUGUAGUGCUUGUGAAGGUAUUGAUAGUCCUCAUGGAAGCCCCUCACAAGGGAAGACAGCUUUAAUUUCUUGACAGGAUUUCCAUAAUCAUCUUUUUCAUUCUCAGUCUGCUCGGUCUCCUCUCCUAUCAUUCGCAAAAUGUUCUCCACAUUCUCAUCAACAUCUGAAAAACCAAAAUAGCAACUAUUGUUUUCAGACUAUGACUCGCUAGAAAUAGGAUAGCUAUAAGUUGAACAAGCCAUAAUUCUUCUUGAAAAAUGUAACUAUAGCAAUGCCAAAAAAACACUUUAAUGGUGAAAUACGAACAUAUAAGACUCAUUCAUGUUCGGUGGGUAUUGGAAUCACGUUGAGAUCAGCCACAAGAAUGUCAAAAAGGAACAACAGUAGAUCAGUAGGAGUUUUCAUCUAUGUAGAAACUGCACUUCGAGAUCUCUAUGCCAACAUAAAAAUUCCUUUGAGUAAAUAUUAGUCAUGAAUUAAGACAGUACCCUUUUUGCUCUCAAGAAGAUACUUGGAUUUCCUAAUUUUGUGUUUCUUUGUCAUAAUGGCGUUCUUGUCUCCACAAGCUUUACUAUUUCUUUGCAGGAAAUCUUUCUCAGACAAAAUUGAUCAUAGCUGAGGUCGUAUGAUGCUGCAAUCCUGAAUAGCUUUGCGCCUGAAAUGGUUAAAAAAACACAAAGACAAUGAAUGGGAAGUCAUCUGUGGAUAGUAUCUAAUCUUAAAUAGCAAAAUUAUCGAAAGGAAGAUCAAGAUAAAAAAAACAGGUGGUUCAAUAGAAACUAUUUAACUAGUUAAUGAUUGAAAAAUAUCAUCUGCACUUUUCACACAAAACAACUGAAUAAGUAUAAAUUGGAAAAGAUGGAAGCCCCUCUGAAGGGGUAUAUAUAACCAACUUUUGCAAAAUAGGAGUUGAAUGUACAGCUAUAUUUCCAGAGUGCACAGAAAUAUUAAUUUGUGAAGCUUAUAUCCAGAAUUUGGAGCCUAAGUUAGUAGCAGCAGUAACCUUUAAUGCUCUUGCACUAAGACGAAGUAGAAUGGCAAGCAUUUCAAGCAUGGAUCGUAUAUCCUAUAACUAAAUAUGCACUUCAAAUUAUAAAGUAAUAUAAUUUACGUCAUAAGGUCUUGAUUAAAAUUACAAAUAGUUGUUUCUCUGCAGGCCCGUUGUUAUGUCAUGAUCUCCUUCAUUUGUAUGCGGUAAUAUACAGCAUGGAUCGUAAGUGGUCUAUUAAUCAAAUAAUUGAUAUGGCCUCUAAAAGUUUAAAACGUCAAUUUUGACCCUCUACCAGGAAUAUUUCCAAACAUAUGCUAUAUCAUGAUUUUUAGGACAAUUUCAUUAUAUCAUGCUUAACAACAUUUGGGUAAGUGGAAAUGUAAUCUCAGUGAUAAAUAGGCAGAUAAGAUGCCAUGGUUGGUGACCUGGAAGACAAUCACUUGUAAAAUCAUUACAUUUUUCAUUUUGGAUCUUGACAAAUUAUGCUUGGCAGGAAAAGUUUUUUUUAUAAACUACAACAGUAUACCCAUUAACAGUAUAUAUUGAGACUAAGGUACUUCUUUUAGAUAACAAACAAUGGUACUUGUGGAAGACACUUUGGAGGCUCAUAUCUGUUGCAUUAUCUUAGCUUUGUAAUAAAAGAAGACAGUCUUGAUGAUUUUGCAAAGAUUGCUGAUAAACACAUCAAUAUUUAUAGAUUCUUCUAUGCCAAAAAAAAAAACAAAGCCAUCUCAAAACCAGAUUCUGACUGAGCUAAAUUGCAAUGCAUGGAUGAGUACAUUAUAAAACGUUUGGUCCAGUUCCAUCCGCCAAAGUUGCGUGGGUGCCCAAAAUUUACAAACCUUUUGGGCAGCACAACUUCAGACAUAUCUAAAAUGCAUAUGGGUAGGCCAUAGUGAGCCAUGCUGAGUGUCAGCCUUCUGCUAACAGAAGUAUAACAUGGUAGUAUCUUCGGCCUGGAACUAUCAUGGUCUCUGUUGGAAACAGUACACAUAUGCGAUCUAAUUGGGGAAAUAGCAGCCCGAAGGAAUUUUUGUCAUACGAAAUCAAUAAACAUCACGAAUGUAACGACACGCGGGACCCGACCAGUGCUGAAACAGUUAGGAAACUAAUCCAAGAAGAUAGAAUUAACAAGUGACGAGUGCUAACCACUCCGCUAAUAUAUUCAGAUAUCAAGGAAGGGAGAAAAGGAAAAAAAACAUGAAAAACAAGAGAAACAAAGGCGGAGGUUAGGAACAGAGAAAGAGAUGCUUAUGACACUUAACGCUUAUUCUAAUCUAGCAUCUCCCUCACUCUAUGCCAGUUGCCAGUUGCCACAUCAGAACGCACACGACCAGGGGAAGAUUUGGGCCUAGGGCCACGACCCUAGGCGUGGCCCAAAUUGCCCCUUAUACCUCUCCUACAUUUUCCAUGACCCAGCUAGCAUUUCUGUGGACUGGCCUAGGCGUCGCCCAGCAGGCAGGCAGGCAAGCAGCCAGCAAGGGCAAAGGCCCACGCAGCCCAAGUUGUACAGGCACAUGUUGACCCGGGAAUCCUAUCUAUCUUUCGGAAGGUGGGACUAAUGUUUUUCGUGCGACCUAUCAGAUUAUGCGUGGUUCGAGGUGCGUGCGGAGCAGCAGCGUGCAGCCAUGCAGGGACAGGUGUCGUGUCGCAAGUGGAGGGAAGUGGGUGGGAUUCUAACGAGAUUUCCAACUAAUCGUGUUUUCUCCUGAACCUUAGAUCCAAUUUGAAAUCCGUUUGAACCAUAGCAAUUUUUUAAAUUAUUGUAACAGAACGAGGUUCAGUAUGUUAUUUUACAUUUUUUUAGUUUACUAUUUCAACAUUUUUAAUAUAUCUUUUCAACAUUUAAUAUAAUAUAUCAACAUUUUUAAUACAUCAUUCGACAUUUUUAGUACAUUGUUUCAACAUUUAAUGUAAUAGUUAAAUAUUUUUAAUACAUCAUUUCAACAUUUUUAGUAUACUGUUUCAAAUAAUAUAUUAUUUCAACAUUUUUUUAGAAAAUGAUGAAAUGCCGCCUGACCGGCUAACGGCAUCGUGCAGUCGUGCCCUCGCCACUCCAUGCAACUGCGCGUCCCGGAAUCCCGAUGCUGCCCUCUUUGCCUGCUCUCUCUCUCUCCCGCUCUCUCUCUCCCUCUCUCUCUCCCCCUCUCUCUCUACAGUCUCCACGGUCUCUCCCUCUCAACAAAUCCGGAAAUCCGCAUCAGCGACCGACAGUAGAGCGGCAGCGCACAGCCUUCUCAGAGGAGUGGAUACUCAAGGCUGGUCCUGCGGCACCUGAGGCUGGCGUGUGUGUGCGGCCGCGCGCUAUUGCCGGCACGCCACUACGGCGGCGCCAUGCAGCCGGGUUCGGCAAGGUGGGAACGGGCGGGCGCCAGUGCGCUCGUGCGGUGCGCGAGACACAUGCGGCAGGUCCAUGCUCCAUCCUUUAUUAAUUCCUCCUCAUCUCCCCAAUCCUUUCUAUUUCAAUUGAACAAAUUUAAUUAAUUUGUUAUUUAUGCUGCAAUUUGUGGGCUUCUACAGUUAUACUAGAAUUACUCAAUGAAGAGGAAAUAGAAACAGAAGGAAUGGGUGCUACCAGUAUAAGUACUUGUCGCUAAUACUGGGCUAUGCAUUCCCCAUUAUCCUUUUUCACAAAUUAACUGUACUUUGCAUUUUCCUUGCCUAAUUCAUUUGAACAUAUGAUAGGUGUGGACGGACCAAAUCAGCACCAGUUAGGUAUUUUUUGAAAAUUUCCAAGUUUUUAUUGAGUUCAUUAAAAAAUUAGGUUUGGAAUUAAGACUACUAGUCCAUCAACCCGUGCUCCCGCACGGGCUAAUGUUUUUAAAGCCAUCGUAUUUAAAAAUUAUUUAAAAAUAAAUUCCUAACUAAUAAUCAAAAUUGUUUACCUACGGGCAUUAUCAUUUUUUCAAUACUUCAACAUAAUACUCAUAUAGGUAUGUACUUAUCUUUGCCUAGCUGUGAUUGAUUUUUAAUUAAUAGUUAUCCUACACACUUUUUCAUUCACAUUCACACUUUUUUCAUCUUGUAUCGCACCUCUAUACAUUAUGUUUAGCAUAAAAAUCAAUAUUUUUCAUCAAUUUCUCACAUACAUGUAUAAAUGGUCUAAAUGGUGACACUCAUCAUGUGCAUAUACUUUAACUUAGUAUUUCUAUCUUCACAACAACAUAAAUAGGUAAUUUAGAAUUAUAUAACAUUUCUUUAUUAUGCACGUGAAGAUAAUUAGAUUAAGAUUUAGGUAUUUACUUUAGGUUAUUUUAAUAACAAGGGUAACUAAGAUACAAAUUACAACAGCAUUUUAAGUUAUGCUUUAUAUAAUGAGAUGUAUGAGUAAAUUGGAUGAAAAUUAUGAGGUUAUUUUAGAUUAUUUUUUAUAAUGGCCGAGCUUUAUAAUUUAGAUAUAAAUUUGGAGUUUAUUUUUGAAUAUUUUCAUAAUGAUAGUGGUGGGUAAAUAUUUAGAAAAUAUAAUAGAUCCAUGAUUAUGAUUAUUAGAGUUUAUAGGAUUGAUAUGUUUUUAUUUUUGUGAGAAUUUCUAUUUGUCCUUUUUUUUUCUACCGUGCCUCAUGGGAACUAAUACAGAGUCUCCAAUAGAAAAAAAAAUAAGACCACAUUGCUACAAAACUUGAGCUACCUCUUAUUUGUUAAAUAUUCGAACACAAUACUUAUAUAGAUAUAUACUUAUUAUCUUCAUCCGAUUGUGACAGAUAUUAGUUAGUAAUUACUCUAUAAUAUUUUCAUCCACAUUUAUAGUAUUUAACUUUUCACUUUACAUCACAUGUAUGCGCUUGCAUUUGAUUAAUGGACCCUAAUUUUGAGCCAUAAUUUUAACAUAGAAAUCUAUAUUUUUAUCACUUCCUUUAUAUCUUUAUAAAUGGUGACACACAUCAUGUAUAUCUUAAUUAUUAUAUCAUAUACCAACGGUGUAAGAAAUAUAUGAUUUAGAAUCAUAUAUUGAUGUAUAUUUUUAAUUAAGGUGAUUUGGAUUCAAAUGCAGGGUUACCUCAUGUUAUUUUUGAUAAUGGCAUACAUGGGUAACAUAGAUGCAAAUUUAAGGAAUUACUUUAAGUUUUUUAAGUAUUAGUGGUGGGUAAUUUAGUUACAAAUUUAGGGGUUAUUUUAAAUAUUUUUAUAAUGGUAUAAGUGGGUAAUUUUGAUAGGGGGCUAUUUUAGUUAAUUUUAUAUAAUGGCAGAGAUGGGUAAUUUAGAUAUAGAUUUAGGGGUUACUUUAGACUAUUUUCAUAAUGGUAUAGUGGAUAUUUUUUUUAGAAAAUAUAAUAGAUUCAAUGGCUACGAUGAUUUGAGUCUACCGACAGAUGUUUUGCUUUUUUUUAUGAAUUUCUAGGUUUCUCUCUUUUCUAAGAGUGUCCACCUAAGAACCACAGGUGGCUUUACCUGGAGGCUUCAAAAGAACUUCCAAUUAGUGAUAGUAAGAUACUCUAAAAAGCAUAGCAUGCAUUUGAUAUUUUGCUGCUGUGACUAUCGCUAUGGGAGCUAAUCUGGGUGGUUCAACCGCUUAGAUAAGUGGCCCUAGGCGUAGAAAUCUGCCAGCUCCGCCACUGCACACGACCCAACAUAGAUCCAUCCAAGAACACACACAGCCAUACGGAAAUUUCUCCACUACCGCAAGAACAGUAAUAUCACAGCAGCACACCCAGAUAGAGAAACGAGGAACUAGAGGGAGAAAAUAAGUGGGAAAAUCAAGAAACGUACCGCCGAAGUGCCGCCUUCUCCUCCUCUACAGCUAUCUCCCACAACUUCUUGAACCCGAAACAAGAUCUGACAAAGACGAAAAGGAAACCAAGCAUGAUCAAAGAUGGCACACCACAGUUGCAAUUGCAAGUAGGAAAAGCAGAGAGACCUGUCACCUGCCAGAUCAAAACAGGGGAGCACGCCCCCAACAAAAAGAGACGAAAUGAAACCAGACCAAGGCGCAAGAGGAGCAGAGUUACCUGAAGGCUAGGAUGAAUCGCUUGCUCGACGAAGCAAGCAGAGGCCGCAGAGAACCUGCCCCAGAGGCUUCUUCUCCACUAGGCUCUGGCUCUCUGAUGUGUGGGCAGCGUUACAAAUGCGCACAACUACACAAGUGAGCAACUCUCGCCUUGUCCUUUUGAAGCCUCUGCAGCAUCUACCUGAGCGCGGCCUGCCUUUUUGUGAUUUUGUAUCGUCCAUGUCUCGUUUUGUCUCUGCGUUCCCGCCUUAACGCUAGGGAGCCAGGAUCUUCUACUUCAGGACUCAGGACAUAGGAAACGUAACUCAUGGACCCAUGGGCAAAAGCACAAGUACAGAAGCGCUAGAAUGCAUUAGAAUAUGCUCUGUUUGGCAUGGCUCCAACUUCGGGUGGAGCUGCUCCACUCCAGAAUUUCACAUGGAGCCAGCUCCGCUCCAAAACUUCAGAACAAAAAUGGGAUGUUUGGCUAGAUGGGUGCUCUCAGCUCCAAAAAAGAUCGAUUUCAGUGUGGAUUGCCAUUGUUGCCCCCCAAUUAAGGCUCCACUUGUCAUCCUCUCUAUCCCAUCUUCUUCUUCCCCUUUUUCCACUGCACUGUGCCGCACACGGGAGACCCUCCACGGGCGGCGGCGUGGGCGGCGGGCGGCGGGGUGGGCGGCGACGGGCGGCGGGGUGGGCGGCGACGGGGGCGGCGCUGGGCGGCGACGGGCGGUGGGGCAGCUUGGGCGGCGACGGGCGACGACCGGGCGGCGGGCGGCGACGGACGGCGGGGCCGGCCAGCCACGGGGGCGGCGACGGGCGGGGCUCUGGCGGCGAGUGGGGCUCGGGAGAAUAGAAUGAAAUAUUUUUUUGUGUAACCAGUGGUAUUGGUGGGUAAUUACCCACCAACUCCACGAGGAGGUUCAAAAGAGAGGUUUCUGAAGUAGCAAAAGAGGUGCUCCAAAACUCCACCUCCAUUUGCACUACAGCUCCAUGGAGUUGGCAACUCCAUGGAGUUUUGGAGUUGGGGUGUUUGGCUGAAUUUUUUGAUGGAGUUGCUGGAGUUUAGGAGUGGAGCCGUGCCAAACAGGGCCAUAAACCUUUUUGGUAAAUUAUCAUGAAACCAUUUUUUCUAUUCCACACACGCAAAAAAAAGAAAAUUCUUCAAACCAUGUAUAUGCAAAAUCCGUCCUACAUAACCUAGGGUCAAUAUGGAAUAGCCAUGCUCUUUUAGCAUGGGUCUCAGUAUGUUAACAUGUGUAUAAACGUCACAUUCAUCAAGCUAAGCUAUUGUAGUCUUGCAGUAAUUUGCUAUGAAAAACACGGUUUGAGAUAGAAUUGUUUCAAAAAUGGUAUAGCAAAAUACGAGUCUCAGCUUUUUCUCUACAUAUCCAUUUUGUUUAAAAAAACGAGUCCCAGUCAUAGGAUGCUCUUCUAGAUUAAAUAUGAAUAAAGCCGUUUACUGUGAAUUGCAAUGACCUUUCAAAAAGGCUCGGUUCUUAGACGAUGGAAGGUGGGAUGAAGAGCGGCAGCAUUCCGUGCCACUCUCUUCCUCAUGGAGACAAUCAUUGGUCACGUUUCUUUUUUGAAAAAAAGUGUACUUUUCUUCCCUCAAAUAUUGCAAAAGUGUAAUAUUCAUCAUUCAUGUUUCAUUUGGUGCAAAUCAAACCCUUACCUAACUAAACCGGUGCAUUUAUCAUCCCACCUUAAUUCAACAAUGGUUUAGUGUUAUAUAAUAUCAGUUUUGCCCAUGUAAUCUAGUCCCUGCUUAGCAGCGUCUGAUGUUGAGUCAAUCGGUAUAAUAGUUCGGUGUGAAUCCAUUCUGUUGAUUUUCUGAUAAAUUUUUAUGGGAUAAGCAAUUUAGAGGAUUUUUGGUUUUUUUGACUUUAUAUAUUCAACUCAUCAUAUUACACGCUAAGCAUGGAUUAGUCAGAUGAUUGUGCGGCAUAAACCUCCGUUAUAUAGCACUUAACCACUGUUAGAUUAAGUGGGAUGAUAAAUGCACCAAUUUGGUUAGUUAACGGGUUGAUUUGCACCAAAUAAAAUAUGAGAGGUGAAUGUCACACUUUUGCAAUACAUGAGGAUGAAAAAUACACUUUUUCUUUUUUUUAAUGCCACCAUCAUUGGUCAUGUUUGUGGCGCAAUGGUGGGACCUGACGAGGACGGCCUCCUUCAUUUUCGUCCAUCACAUAGUGCGCGGCUUUGCUUUUGUUCCUGUUGCCUGCCCGGGAAAGAAUCUUUUGGGGUUUCAGCACCGUGGACUCCAUGCCGUUCACUGUGUUUACGACUUGUCAAUCGGUGCAAUGACGAGACGCAUAAUGGUAAUGAACUGUAACCUUUUAUGCACGUCAGACAAACAAUGUGAGAACCAUAUGCAUAUGCAGUAUGAUGACAAUAGGAAAAGGAGAAGCGCAGCCGUUCACUGCGUUUACGACUUGUCAAUUGCACCACGAAUAGGAAAAGGUGAAGCGUAGCCGUUCACUGCGUUUACGACUUGUCAAUCGGUGCAAUGACGAGACGCAUAAUGGUAAUAAACUGUAACUCUUUGUGCACAUCAGAUAAGCAACGUGAGAACCAUAUGUAUCUAGAGCAUGAUGACGAAUAGGAAAAGGCGAAGCGCAUGUAGCAGUCAAGCAUCUGAUAGGAACUCAUUUUCCCUUUCUUUUUUUUUUUUGAGCCUCUGAAGCCUGAUGGUAACAGUUUGUAACGACAUGACGAGAUGCAUGCAACUGAUGUGGACAAUGUGGACGAGUAUGACGACUCAUAAAAUAAAGAGAUUGCUGUUUGGAGAUAAUGUAGGAAUUUGUCCGGUGUAGAAUUUUGAGAAAAAAAGAAAACCUGAUGCUGGUUUCCUUGGAGCAGAAAAAUUGCAACAUGGGAGCCAUAGGAGAGAGCUGAUUCCUUUUAGGGAGGCGGGCUGUGGAGGAGCUACAGAUAAAAAUUGGUGUGGGCAUCACACUGCGCCUGACCCCAAUAUUCCUUCCGAAUUCCGAUUGGUGGUUCAGAUCUCAGCAGCGCCGAUCGAUCGAUCGACCGACCUGUAACGGAACCGGGACGUGGACGGAGCAUGCGACCGUGACCUGUGGGGGCUCCAAUCCGUUGCCUCUGUAGUCUGUGCGGGGGCUGCGAGACAAGACGGCAUGCACUGUGCGAGCAUGUUAGCUGCAGCGCCGGUUGUACAUGCCUCCGUCGCCUAUAGCGAACCGAAGCCGGAUAGACGAGAUGGAAUUUUUUUAUUUUUAUUUUUUUUACGAUUUUGCAGAAAUAAAUAGCGGAGGAAAAAAUUAGCAAAUAUAGACGUAUGCCGCCAGAUGAAAUGGCGGUAAAGCUGGAUAGACGAGAUGGAAAUUUUUUUCAUUUUUAUAUAUUUUUUUACGAUUUUGCAGAAAUAAAUAGCGGAGGAAAAAAUUAGCAAAUAUAGACGUAUGCCGCCGGAUGAAAUGGCUACCGCCGUUUCAACCGACGGUAAGAAAAGUUACCGCCAUUUCAACUGGCGGUACAUAUGCAACGAAUAAAAAAAAUCGGAAACGGGGUGUCACGUUAACAACCUUACGACACCGUGGUGCCAGGUCAGCACGCGGAAUAUUAGCAGCCGAGGAGCCCACUGACUUACCGCCGGAUGAAACGGUAGUAGCUGGUUACCGCCGGAUGAAGCAACGGUAACAACCUUCCAUCGAUUCAAACGACGGGAGUGGGAAGAUCCCGCCAGAUCAGUCAACGGUAGGCGUCCCCACCCUUUAAAACGCAAAGAACGGCCGGGACCGAGCCAGAGGUGCGUGCCGGUUCAUUCGGGGAGAAAGAAGAGAAAGUGAGGGAGGAGAGGAGAGGAGGGGAGGGGAGGAGGGUGGAGAUUGAAGCGAAGCUCUACCGGAUUUGCUCUUCGCUUCAGGUAUUAUUUGAAAGCUCGCAGUUUAUCUUAACUUGUAGUUAGUAGAUGUAGUAGUCGAUGUGAUUUAUAAAUGGUGUAGUGUUAAGUAUUAGAUCAAAUCUAGGUGUACAUAUGAGAUAGACAAAUAUUAGUUGAAUUUAGCUUAGUUAUUUUGGUUAAAGUAAAUUUAGCUUGUUGAUUUAUUUAGAUAACUUUAAGAUUAAUAUUAUUGGAAAUGUACGAGUUAUAAUUUUAUAUAGUUAUUCAGAAUGUAGGUAUUUUUGGGAUUAGUUCAAAUUAAUAACAUUUAGUAAUAAUGUCAUUCAGGUCGUGUAUAAUUUUAUAUAGUUUUUCAGAAUGUAGGUGUGAUUAGGGUUAGUUAAAUUUAUUAAUAUUUAGUAAUGAUCUCUCUUGAUGUCGUGUAUAAUGUCGUGUAUAAUGAUAGGGUGAAGUAAAAUUAAUUUGUUGAUAUAUUUAGAUAACUCUAAAAUUAAUACUAUCGGCAAUGCACGAGUUAUAAUUUUAUAUAGUUUUUUAAAUGUAGGUGUUGUUGGAGUUAGUUAAAAUUAAUAACAUUUAGUAAAAAUAUCUGUUCAUGUCGUGUAUAUUGAUAGGCAUGUCAGACAAUUUAUUUUUCCAAGUGUUCUAUGGUCCGAGGGAGGUUAGAUAUGUUUCAGAAAGGGUAGAUUUGUCUGAAUUUAAGUCGUUCUGGAAACAAGUACCAAGAGAAAGAGAGAAGACUUGGGCAUCAAUAUGCAAUUGGCUAUUUAAAUCUUUCAAGCUUGAUAGAGAUCAAGUUGAGCUGUCUGUUAGGGCUGUAGUGAGGUUUCGAACUAAUAUAAUAUUUUAGGAGUUGAUUGUAACAACUCUCCCUAAAUUAAGUGCUUUUAACUAUAAACCAGUGAUAAAUCCCUAAUUAAAGAAGUGAAAUGACCUUUAUAACCCUAAGAAGCUUUUUUUGGAGUUUGAAAUAAAGCUUGAAAUUUUAUAUACAAACUUAAGUUUCUGCCCAAAUGAGAGUUUUAAAACUUUUUAAUUCAAACAUCUUUUGUUAAAGGCACUUUGACUAAUUCGGAGCGGAAGGGAGUCAAAAACAGCAAUCAAAACCGGUUUACUAAAGGACCCUAAAAAUCUCUUAAGUCCUGGAAUUCGAGUUUUCCUCCAUCUUUGCAAGCUUUCAUCUCACAAAUUCCUAUCUAAACUCGAGUCAGGGCCUUAAUGAAAGUUGUAGUACCUCGAGUGUGUUCCAACCUUGUUACACUGACCCAGAUCCAAAUCGGGUCCGAACCUGUUCAAAACCCCGGUCAAAGUGAGGUAAAACAGUCAACUCACCCCUGAUGCCUUAAAAUCUUAAGUCUGGAAUUCCAGAUUUUUGGCUAACUUUGGCAUGAAAUAUCUUCGAAUCCUCUCACAAUCUAAACCGACACCUUCAACAAAGUUCAAAGAAUGUCCAGACUUGAGCAAGUUUGUUUAAAAGAGUUUUGGAAGUUGUGUUGAAAAAUCCGAAGAAAGAUCUCCCAAAAGCUGGUCGGGCUUGCUGCCCGAAGGGAGCCUCGACGCCCGCGCGCCAGAGCACGUUCGCUCGCGCGCCGCGUGGCCGCCGGCCACCGGCAGCUCGCCGGUGCCCUAUCACCAGCGCGACAGCGACAGGACGAAGGCCACGGCGCCCAACCCGCGCCCGCGACAGGACGGGGCGAACGCCGGGCUAGCCAACCGCCGGCCGCGCGCGUGCCGCCUUCCGCCUGCCAUGGCUCUGCUCCGCCAACCCCGUUCCGCCCGUCCGCCGGGAAAGCUGCAAUGCCCACGAUGUCCCGCGCCUCCGCCUGCUCGCCCAACCCCCACGGUAGCCCUCCGCCUCGCCCGCCCGACAGACCGGAAGCCCCAGACGCGCGCCACCCAAGGCCAAUCGCCGCCGAAGACCACCCGGAGCUCCGCCUCCUCUGCCCAAUGGCGCCGCUGGCCAAUGAUCGCCUUGCCCAUGCACUCGCCGCUCCCGGCCUUAUCCCUUCCCCAUCGGAGCCCCGCCUCGACCCUCUGCCCCACCCCGGCCGUAUAAAAGGAACCCCCUCACCGGCAAUGCCACCCCUUGCCACCGCCCGCACCCGCGCCACCGCUUUCUCCUCUGCGCCGCCGCUGAGCUUCCGUGGAGCUCACCCCUCUGCGCCACCCCGCACUCCGGCGACUUCGCCGCCACACUCUUGAGGAAGUUUCCCUCUCCGCUCAAACCGCUUCUCCCACAUCUAUUAUACGUGCGCAGGUUCCGUAUGUUAAUGCAUGCGAAGGAUGGUAUGGUUCGAUUUCAACGAGCCUAUCAUCAUGGUUGUUCGCCCACGUUUAUUAUACGUGUGCAUGAUUCCGCAUCACGAGAAUGCGAAGGGUUAUAGGAGUCCAUUCAAAGGAACCUAUUUCCACGGUUGUUGCGCUGUCCAUGCAGCGUUAAAUGCAUGGGUGUCGUUUCUAUAGUGAACGGUAAUGAUUGUGGACGCUUUCCUGAGUGCUAGCAUGGAAGGUUCAAGCUGUGAUGUGUUUUUCUGCAGGUACACUAACAACGUUGCGUUCGAAACGAUGCCUAGUAACUCGACUAGUUAUUAUAGUGAGAGUUGUAUUGUUGCCUUGCCACCGGCACUAACCACGUAAGUCCAAAGAUUUUUGGCAAUUAUUUUUGAUUGAGAGGACCACUAGGACGUGCAUGCAUUAAGAAAUAAAAAUCGCAACCUAAGGAAAUAAAAACCAAACUCGAGUGCGUCGUAAAAAGAAAUGCACCACGUUAAGGAUUGUCUAGCUGUCCUUUUUUCCGCCAUGCACGGUAAAAUUAAUCUUUCAGGUGGAUCCGCAUGAUAACUCUAGAAACUUUAUAUAUAAGAAAGUUGUGUUAAAAUCUCCCAAGUAAACUGCUGAAAAAUUUUCACAAGGUACUACCAUUUGGGUUGAGAGUUGUGAUCAGUUUUGUGACCCCCUGUUAGCUGUUAGCCCUAAGUGCACACCAGCGGAGUUUCUUCUGUUUCGACCACCUUAAGGACCUUUUCUGUGAGGAGUCCUUUAAGCAAAGUUUUUCAUAACUUAGUAAAGGACUUACUGGUAGAAUUUCAGCUUUGUUAGGUCUCUGGUUUGGAAGUUAUGUUCAGAUUAUCUUGGCUUGAUCUGAAAAAUUCCAGCAUGUACACUUAAUGGAAAUCUGAGAUUACCACCUUGUUAGGUUCUGUCCUAGCCCUACCUUUGAAUACCAAACUUGUUACACACAAUCUAAAGAACAUGCUGGUAAAAUUUGAGAAAUUUUGGAGGAAUACUUGCUGAGUUAUGAGCUUUCUCUAACUGCUAGAAAUCUGUUUGAUUUCCAAGUGUUAAUUCUGUUUCUCACUUGACCUUUGGUUACAGAUGGCGCAGCCCGUGCACAUUGCAGUCGGUACGGAUGGCACCACCUACUCACGGUGCCUUCACUACGAGGGUUUCCCAGCUAUGUUGUGGGACACUCUGCGCUCUUUCGGGUACCAGUCGCCGCCGGUCUAUGCGGGACGUGCGUACCAGGACCACGGGAUUCCGCGGAGCCGCGUGCACGUGCGGGUACCCCCGCCUCCGGAUCAGCCACAAUGGCCGCUGUUGGAGGUGGUGGCCGAGGGACACACGCUCCACGACACCUGGGAGUUUGCAGCCUUGCAGACCUUGACACAGUUCUGCCGGGCACACCCUCUUGAGAUCGUGCUGGACCCGAUUGGGUUGUUCCCUGCCCGGGAUACGAGGGACCCGGACUGGUUGGAUCGUAUGGAGCAUAUGGACUUGCUCGGGCUUAUUGAUCCACAGUGCACGAUUUUUGUUUCAGCUCGUUGCCUGAACGUGUUCUACAGGAUGGUUGAGCUGCAGAGUCGAGCGAUGGCUUUGGUGAUCGGGAUGGCAGUGGCCAACCAGGUUGCCUUGUCUACCGUGCAGAGUGGCAUGGUGGACCAAUCGCUCGAGCUGGUACAGAAGGAUGUCCAGAUUGGUGAGAUGCAGGAAAAGAUUACUCGUUUGGAAGAGGAGAUUGUGGAUAUGGAGCACGAUAUGGAGAUCUUGGCUGACCAGUUCUAUGAUGUGAACAUGGAGCUGGCGAACACCAAUGAGCACCUGCAGGAGCAUCACGAUGAGCUUAAUGCCAUCCACGCCUUAGAGGUGCAGCAGGAUGAGCCGAUGGCCCAGGAGGAGGAGCCCGAGGAGAUCGAAGGCUUUUCGAGCAUGGACUAUGAGGAUGCCUCUCCGCAGCCUCCAGUUGGUGAUGCUCACUCUCCGGUCCUUAGCUUUGCCUCCAUGGGCAACCUCGACGACUUCUAGUUGUGUUGGCUGGUUGUUGAGCAGUUCUCUUUUGUUUUUACUCCUCGACGACCUAUAUUUUGGCCAGUGAUGUAAUAGGUUAGCUUGAGUUGAGUAUUUGGGUAUUGGAAAAAAAAACUGAUUCUAUGUAGGAUUGUCAUUGCUACCUCUGGUGUAAUGUCUGAAAAUUAUGGUAGAAUUGCAGUGACGGUUUCUCCUCAAUUUUACCCCUGUCUCCACUCGUUUUUGAGCCAAAGCUCGUGUACCAAAGUUGUGCGAAAACUUCUAUCCUAGCUACUCGUAAAGUUUCAACUCCUUCGGAUCUGUCAAACGCCCGCUAGAGCCAAAAUCCCACUGCUCAGCUUGCUGAAAAAUCAAUUGGACAGCAACCUGCUAGAACAUCUAAACGACCUCUUUCCCUUCCUUUUCGGUCAACAAGCAUAACCUGAAGGUGGUUGUGAACAACAUAUACUAACCCUCGCUUAACGAUGAGAACCAUGUGCCCUUCAAAGAAGAGAUAUGCAAAGUUGAUUGUUGUUUUUGCACCAUCAGCAAGACUAGCUUUUAUCCUUUCCGCACAUAAUGUUUCCUUAUGGUUAAACAAGAUUUUGGGGCUAUGUGACUAAUGGAAAGGUGAAUCUUGCAGAUGGCGCAUCGCACACGCUCCGGCUCCGUUCCCAGUGGCAGCGAGGUGCCUCCCCCACCUCCGCCUCCGACCACCCUCGAGUCGAUCUUGGCAGCUCAAACCAAGCUGUUGAGGCACAUCGCUCAGGGGCAGCAGCAGCAGCCGCCCCAGGGAGGAAGGGCCCAUCAACAGCCCCAUGUUGCUCGCUACGAGGAUUUUCUGGGGACCCAGCCUCCUCUGUUUCACAAGACGGAGGACCCGCUUGACACCGAUGCCUGGAUUCGCGCUAUCGAGUCCAAGUUCUCCCUUCUCACCGCCCAUUGCCCGGAUGAGAACAAGGUUCGAUUCGCCGCGCAGCAGUUGCGUGGUUCUGCUCUCCUGUGGUGGGAUCAUCACCACGCCAUGCAGCCAGCCGACCACGUUGUCGGUUGGGAGGAAUUCAAGACGGCGUUCAGGGGCCAUCACAUCCCUGAGGGUCUUCUGGAGCGCAAGCUCAACGAGUUCCUGGCUCUCACCCAGGGAGGCCGCGAUGUCCUGCACUAUGCGCAGGCUUUCAAUGACCUGUGUCGCUAUGCAGGCUAUCAUGCGGACUCCGAUGAGAAGAAGAGAGACUGCUUCCGUAGAGGCUUGAGUUUGGAGCUCAAGGAAAGGCUGAAUCCCAUCAAAGUGGAUUCCUACAAUGAACUGGUGAACCUGGCAAUUUCCCAGGAAGAUUGCAUGAGGUCCCUCAAGGCCGACAUGAAGAGGAAGGCCCCAAUGCCGGCACCCGGCCCGCCUGCCCAAAAAUACAGAAUGGUUCCCCCACAAGCGCCUCGCAGGCCCGCACAGCCUGGGAGAUGGGUUGCUCGACCUCCACCGCAGGCAGCACCUCAUUUCCCUGGAUUCCAGCCGCAAGGGCCCCGACCUGCUCUUCCGAUGCCGCCGCGCCCAGUCACUGGAAACCGCUGUUUCACUUGCGGGAACCCAGGACACUUUGCCAAGGACUGCCCCCGCAACAAGAAUCAACGACCCGGUCAGAGCAAUGCACUAGGAAACAAGGGGAAGAAGCCGAAGGUUCAGGUCCGACAAGGCCGGCUGAACUUCACCACCCUUGCUGAACUUCCAGAGGGCGCACCAGUGAUGACGGGUACCUUUUCUAUCUAUAACCAACCCGUCCUUAUUCUGUUUGAUUCAGGAGCAUCUCAUAGUUUCAUUGGGACUAGAACCAGUGCUAAGUGUGGGUUAGAUUUCUGUCACACCAAAGGUACCUACAUAAUCUCUACCCCGGGUGGAAAGGUAGCUUCACACCAAGUGAGCCGCAGAGUACCUAUCCAGUUAGGGAGAACCCUUCUUAAGGAAGACCUGCUUACCCUUGGGAUAGAAGGAAUAGAUGUUAUCUUGGGUAUGGAUUGGAUGACCCGACACCGAGUGACCCUAGAUAUCCGUGCCAGGGCAAUCCAUAUAAAUUCACCCAAGUAUGGUAGCUCAACUAUACACUUACCUCCCCGAGAGUGCCAAACUUCUUGUGCCUAUCCCGUGUCUGAAGCCCGAUUGGAAGAUAUUCCAGUGGUAUGCGAGUAUCCGGAUGUGUUUCCAGAUGAUUUGUCGGGUAUGCCGCCUGAGAGAGAUAUCGAGUUUGCCAUUGAGUUGCAACCAGGUACUGCCCCAAUUUCAAAGAGACCAUAUCGGAUACCACCAGCCGAACUGGCAGAAAUGAAAACUCAGUUGCAUGAUUUGUUGGAAAAGGGUUUUAUUCACCCAAGUACAUCACCUUGGGGUUGCCCCGCCUUGUUCGUGAAAAAGAAGGACGAUAGUCUGCGUAUGUGUGUGGACUACCGACCUCUCAAUGCGGUGACGAUAAAGAACAAGUACCCACUACCCCGCAUUGAUGUUCUGUUCAAUCAGUUGGCUGGAGCUAGAGUGUUUUCCAAAAUUGACCUCCGUUCUAGCUACCACCAAAUCAAAAUCCGCCCGUGCGACAUUCCAAAGACUGCCUUUUCUACACGAUAUGGACUCUGCGAGUACUUAGUCAUGUCAUUUGGGCUUACUAAUGCACCGGCUUAUUUCAUGUAUCUCAUGAAUUUGGUGUUUAUGCCCGAACUCGACAAAUUCGUCGUGGUAUUCAUUGACGACAUCUUGGUGUACUCGAAGAAUGAAGAAGAACAUGCAGAACACCUAUAUACUGUACUCCAACGUUUGAGAGACCACCAACUCUAUGCCAAAUUCUCUAAGUGUGACUUCUGGCUGGACAGUGUUAAAUUCUUGGGACACACCAUAUCCAAAGACGGUAUAGCAGUAGACCCAAGCAAAGUGCAAGAAGUAAUGGACUGGAAGCCGCCCACUUCAGUUCAUCAGAUUCAAAGUUUUCUUGGUUUAGCCGGUUACUACCGUCGCUUCAUCCCUGACUUCUCAAAAAUAGCUAAGCCAAUGACGGAACUGCUGCAGAAAGGAAGUAAGUUUGUGUGGAGCGACAAAUGUGAAGAAGCUUUCCACACCUUGAGACAAUUAUUGACUUCUGCGCCAGUUUUAGCUCAGCCAACACCACUAGGCCAUUUGACGUGUAUUGCGAUGCCUCUGGCACUGGACUUGGUUGUGUUCUUAUGCAAGACAGCCGAGUCAUUGCCUAUGCCUCACGAGCGUUACGACCACAUGAGUUGAAUUACCCUACUCAUGAUCUCGAGUUAGCAGCAGUCGUUCAUGCUCUGAAAAUAUGGAGGCAUUAUCUCAUGGGAACCCGAUGCAACAUCUAUACAGAUCACAAGAGUCUUAAGUAUAUAUUCACUCAAGCAGACCUCAACAUGCGCCAGAAGAGAUGGCUAGAAUUAAUCAAGGAUUAUGACCUAGAAGUCCUUUAUCACCCAGGUAAAGCCAACGUAGUUGCAGAUGCCCUCAGCCGCAAGAUCCAUUGUAACUGCUUAUCGGCGGUUAAUUAUGCCGAGACCCUGUGUCACGAAAUGGCUAAACUCAACUUGGAAAUUGUUCCCCACGGCACCUUAAGUCAUAUUUCUCUGGAGCCCACCCUGCUUGACCAAAUAAUUCUAGCACAGCUAGAGGACAAAGAGAUAAACCUUAUCAAAGGGAAACUUGCACAAGAGGAUGAGGGAUAUAAACGUUUCCGACAGGAUUGGAAAGGAGUGGUACAUUAUGAAGCUCGACUUGUAGUUCCAAAUGAUCCCGAGCUUAAGAAACAAAUUCUGGAUGAAGCACACCUUUCCAAGUUCUCGAUUCACCCCGGUAGUACCAAGAUGUAUCACGACCUCCGACAAAAUUUCUGGUGGAGUGGGAUGAAACCCGACAUUGCACGAUAUGUUUCAGAGUGUGAUACCUGUCAGCGAGUUAAGGCAAGCCACUUAAGGGUAGCUGGCCCCUUGCAGCCGCUGCCUAUUCCCUCGUGGAAAUGGAAAGACAUAAGCAUGGACUUUAUAGUCGGACUACCCAAUACCUCCCGCAAGAAUGACUCCAUAUGGGUUAUAGUAGACCGACUAACCAAAACAGCACAUUUCCUUCCAGUACACACCACCCACGCCAUACAGAAAUAUGCAGAACUGUACCUUGAUCGGAUUGUUUCCUUGCAUGGUGUACCUAAAAUGAUCAUCUCUGAUCGAGGUAGUCAGUUUGUAGCACGCUUUUGGGAGCAGUUGCAGUUUUCACUUGGCACUAAAUUGAUCCGUAGUUCCACAUAUCACCCUCAGACCGAUGGGCAAACUGAAAGGGUUAAUCAGAUUUUGGAAGAUAUGUUAUGUGCCUGUGCUAUUCAUUAUGACAAGAACUGGGACAAGUGUUUGCCAUUAGCAGAAUUUUCCUACAACAAUAGUUACCAAGAUAGCCUGAAAAUGGCACCUUUCGAGGCCUUUUAUGGACGUAGAUGCCGAACCCCACUAAGCUGGUCGCAACCCGGAGAGCGAACGGUGUAUGGACCUGACCUGGUCAUGGAGGCCGAAGAAAAAGUGAGAGUUAUCCGCGAAAAUCUCAAGGCCGCCCAGUCUCGACAGAAGAGCUAUUCCGAUCAAAGAAGAAGACCCAUCCAAUUAAAGGUUGGGGAUUUUGUAUACCUACGGGUUUCACCGACCAAAGGCGUACAACGUUUUGGAGUAAAGGGAAAGUUAGCUCCGCGCUAUAUUGGCCCCUAUGAGAUCGUAGAGGUGUGUGGACCCGUAGCGUAUCGAAUUAAACUUCCAGAGAAGAUCGCAGCGGUACACGAUGUUUUCCAUGUCUCGCAACUCAAGAAGUGCAUCAGGAUUCCAACUGAAAUCAUUGCCCCGGAAGAAUUAGAGAUCUAACCCGAUUUAUCAUAUAAGGAGUAUCCUGUUAAGAUCCUCGACCGGAAGGAAAGGCAUACUCGUCGGCAGAUGGUAAAAAUGUACCAAAUUCAGUGGAGUAACCAUACGGAAGACAAAGCGACAUGGGAGACGGAAGAGUAUCUCAACGCUAACUUCCGCGGUUUUCUUUUCGAUCAGGGAGGUACGUUGCACCAGCCACACUAGUUCUUUCUGCACUUGAAUCUCGGGGCGAGAUUCCCUUAAGGGGGGGUAGGCUGUAACAACUCUCCCUAAAUUAAGUGCUUUUAACUAUAAACCAGUGAUAAAUCCCUAAUUAAAGAAGUGAAAUGACCUUUAUAACCCUAAGAAGCUCUUUUUGGAGUUUGAAAUAAAGCUUGAAAUUUUAUAUACAAACUUAAGUUUUUGCCCAAAUGAGAGUUUUAAAACUUUUUAAUUCAAACAUCUUUUGUUAAAGGCACUUUGACUAAUUCGGAGCGGAAGGGAGUCAAAAACAGCAAUCAAAACCUGUUUACUAAAGGACCCUAAAAAUCUCUUAAGUCCUGGAAUUCGAGUUUUCCUCCAUCUUUGCAAGCUUUCAUCUCACAAAUUCCUAUCUAAACUCGAGUCAGGGCCUUAAUGAAAGUUGUAGUACCUCGAGUGUGUUCCAACCUUGUUACACUAACCCAGAUCCAAAUUCGGCCCGAACCUAUUCAAAACCCCGGUCAAAGUGAGGUAAAACAGUCAACUCACCCCUGAUACCUUAAAAUCCCAAGUCUGGAAUUCCAGAUUUUUGGCUAACUUUGGCAUGAAAUAUCUUCGAAUCCUCUCACAAUCUAAACCGACACCUUCAACAAAGUUCGAAGAACGUCUAGACUUGAGCAAGUUUGUUUAAAAGAGUUUUGGAAGUUGUGUUGAAAAAUCCGAAGAAAGAUCUCCCCAAAGCUGGUCGGGCUUGCUGCCCGAUGGGAGCCUCGACGCCCGCGCGCCAGAGCAUGUUCGAUCGCGCGCCGCGUGGCCGCCGGCCACCGGCAGCUCGCCGGUGCCCUAUCACCAGCGCGACAGCGACAGGACGAAGGCCAUGCCCAACCCACGCCCGCGACAGGACGGGGCGAACGCCGGGCUAGCCAACCGCCGGCCGCGCGCGUGCCGCCUUCCGCUUGCCAUGGCUCUGCUCCGCCAACCCCGUUCCGCCCGUCUGCCGGGAAAGGUGCAACGCCCAUGGCAUCCUGCGCCUCCGCCUGCUCGCCCAACCCCCACGGUAGCCCUCCGCCUCGCCCACCCGACAGACCGGAAGCCCCACACGCGCGCCGCCCAAGGCCAAUCGCCGUCGAAGACCACCCGGAGCUCUGCCUCCUCUGCCCAAUGGCGCCGCUGGCCAAUGACCACCUUGCCCGCGCACUCGCCGCUCCCUGCCUUAUCCCUUCCCCACCGAGCCCCGCCUCGACCCUCCGCCCCACCCCGGCCGUAUAAAAGGAACCCCCUCAGCGGCAAUGCCACCCCUUGCCACCGCCCACACCCGCGCCACCGCUUUCUCCUCUGCGCCGCCGCUGAGCUUCCGUGGAGCUCAUCCCUCUGUGCCACCCCGCACUCCGGCCACUUCGCCGCCACACUCUUGAGGAAGUUUCCCUCUCCGCUCAAACCGCUUCUCCCAACCCACCAGCCGCCUGUUCCUCCGCGCGGUACUAGAGCUUGCUAGUUGUCCACAUGAAGCUCCGCCACCGCCGGAGCACCGUCGAAGCCUCGCCACCGCCCAAGCCUUAGUGCGUACGACCUUCCGCCCAAGUCUACUCCUUUUCGACCCCAAGGCUUCACCGGUAGACCUGGAGGUAAGCCGCCGACCCCUUUUUUUCGGUUCGCCCGACCCCUUUCUGUUCGGUUCGCCCGACCCCCUUCUGUUCGGUCGCUUGACCCCUUUAUUUUCGUCUCGCCCGACCCUGUCAGUUUUGCCGACCUUUCCCCGCCUCGCCCGAGGGCUCGGCUGUAUCUUUUUCUUUGACCCGAGGGUAUCGGUGAAUUUUUUUUUCAGGGAUUUCUCUGUGUUGAGUCUGAGGACCUCGGUAUGGUUUUUCCUUAAAUCUGAGGGUCAGACCAUCAGUUUCUCCAAAUUCGACCCUUUUAUCCUGUUCUCCACCAACUGAAGUUGGACUCCCCAACCUUUCCUGUAGCUUUGCUACAAGUGUCUGAGUUAAAACAUGCGAGUGUGUUGAAAUAAUCAUCUAAAAUGUUUAACCCCUGCAUUGCAUUUCCGUGUAGAGUUAAAUCUCGCCGACGGGACUUACGAGCUCCACCCGGCACCGGAAGAAGACCCCGCUGAGGAGCUUCACCCCUUCGAAGGAGAGCCCGAACCGGAGCAAGACCCCGAGGACCCACUAACUUUUCCUGAAGGCAAGCCCCGGUGCAUGAAUUCCCUGUUUUACUUUUAUGCCACUUAUUGAUGCUUAUGAUUGUGCAUUUACGUUGGUAGGAGUUGAUUGGAACCGUAGAUGCAUAAACUUAGUACCUUGAUUUGAAUACUAGUUGCUAAGGUCAAGUAGUUGCAAUGCUUAAUAGGUCCCGGUAAAAGUCGAGUGAUUUCCUGUCACUCGCGAGUUAUAGGAGUUGAAUGUUUCAGUUAUAUCGCAACUAUAAGGAUGACGGACGGGGUCAGGCUUAUGUUCGAUACUUGGUGGAUUGCCCCGUCUGUCUAAAUGAAAAUGGACUAAGGUCGAAACGUGUCGACGUUCGUGAUCAAGUGUUUGAAAGUACUAAUCUUAUACCUAGUAUGGGAUGGGGAAGCCUAGUACCUGAUUGAACUGGGACGUGGCAUACCCUCCGGCUGUCCUUGGAACGUCGUUCCCAUGGUGCAUCAUGUGGGUGCAAGUGCGGUCACAGUGCAGCAAUAGGCCGGGACUGUGGAGCAUUGCACGCCAAAGGUAGUUGGCCCUGACACGUGCCUAAGGGAUCGAUGGGGAUGGCUGACAAAUGAAGCGACCCUUCGUGGUGCGCGGAUGUCGUGAGAUUAGGUUUUCCAUGCAUGGUUAAUAAAUUCGAAUCGAUUCGUCUGCCUCUCACAGUUUGGGACUACUUGAUCGCUAUUCUGCACUGAGUAAAGAUGGAACAUGAUGAUGAUAUUAAUCUUGAUGCUUGUUCUUUAAUUGCUUGGACAUCAUGCUUGUUUAGUAUAAGUUGCUAAUCUAGACUGGAUAAAGAACAUAGAACAUGAGCUAAAAUGUUGAAAGUAAGGACUGACUUUAGACGCUUUUGGCAAAGAAAACCCCAGAGCCAGAAAGCCUUGCAUGUCUAGGUCUUGGUCGUGUUUUUUUCCCCCCGACGGGUCAGUCUUGCUGAGUAUUAGUUGCUCAGCCUUGUUGUGACUAAUCUUUUUCAGGUAAUGUCAAUAGUUUGGUUGCUGGUACCACUUGGCCUACCCAGCUCCUUACAGGCUGGACAGUCGAGUGGGAUCCCUCCUCGGACGGCGAAGGAAGGAAUUUUUGAUGUCAUGAUCGGCUCCGUCGUGAUGUCAUGUAUCGACGUUUGGCUUCCGCUAGUUUUAUUUGACUUUCAAACCUCGCUUUUCGGUCUGAAUUUCGAAAACUCUGAUGUAAUAAAAUGUUGAACUAUGUUGUUGUGAUGGAAUGUUGUAACCUCUGUGCUACUCACCUUCGCGUGAGCGAUGCUUCUCAAUCCUGUUUAUGUGGUUAAUCGGAUGAAUCCGACGGUCGACCAAGUUGACUUGCUUAAAGUGCAUAAUCGCGUGUCAGGUGACUUCAAUGCAUUUUAGUCAGGUUAAUUUGGGCGGUUCCGCCACAUUGAUGCCGCUUGAAGGAACCCAGAACUGGAGGGCCUAUGUAAAUGCUGCUACUGAGCGCGAUUUACCACUGAUAUUGUUUUGUUGAAGUGUUCUAGAAGAUUGGAUCUAGCAAUCAGUUGCAAGAAGAAGUUGGUGGUGGGGAAGUUAGAGGCGAGGAAGGCCUGGAGAUUAUCGAUGGGCAAACUGAAAAAGAUACUGAACAUGGGGUAGAAGAAGAAGAUGCAGAGGAUGCACCCCAUGAGCCAAAUGGCGAUGCUGAUGAGGGGGAACACAUCCCUGGGUUAGUUGAGUAGGUAGAGAGGGAAGGAGAAGAGCAUCUUCAUGCCAUGGAUGAUGACUCGUCAUAUAAGGAUGCUAAUCCUAUCCUGCAGAACUGGUCAAGUUAUGACCAUUCAAACCUAGCAAUAAAUGAAGGGGAAAAUAUUCUUGGGAGUACAGGAAGAAUGAGCUUUGUGUCGGUGCUUUGUACCCUAGUGGGGAUGAGGUGAAGACAGCUAUAAAGCGAUGGUCGACUUUAUCUUUGCAAUGGCAGUUCAAGAUGGUGAAGAGCAGCCGGACAAUAUAUGAUGCGUGUUGUGUCAGAAGCAAUUGCCCGUUUAGGGUGCACGCAUACAAGGGCAAGUGGAAGGAUUACUGGGAGGUGACUAGAUUGGUGGAGCAUGAAUGCGUGCUAGAUGAAUUGGAAGCACAACACCGCAACCUCACUGCUGAUUUUGUUGCUCAAUACAUGUAUCCUCAGGUAGUCGAGAAUCCUAGCUAUGAGCCCAAGUCAAUUAUUUGUGCUAUAGAGGAGAAAUUUAAGUACAAAAUUAGCUACAGCAAGGCUUACCGAGCCAAACAGAAGGCGUUAGAGAUGAAGUGGGGUACAUACAAAACAUCAUAUGAUAACCUCCCUGCUCUAUUGCACAUCAUAUGCUAGAGGAAUCCAGGAAGCUACUGCGACCUGAAAGCCUAUCCCUGGGCUCAGAAUCCAGGCAAACAGGUUCUGCAGCGGUCAUUCUUGGCCUUGGGUCCUUGCAUUGAGGCUUUUUAGUGAUGUCGCCCAGUCAUUUGCAUUGAUGGCACGUUUUUGAAUGGUAGGUAUAAAGGCACAUUCUUGACAGCUAUUGGGUCCGAUGGUAACAUCCAGGUGUUGCAGCUGACGAUCAUCUUUGUGGAGAAAGAGUCUGUAGAUAGUUGGUAUUGGUUCUUGAAGAGGGUUAAGCAGAUGAUUGUGAAGGAUGUGGAGGCCAUUUGUAUGAUUCAUGAUUGGCACAAAGGCAUUCUACGAGCAAUCAAAGACCUACUAAAUGGCAAUAUGGAACGUCACAGGACAACGCAGUGGUCAGACUUGAAGAGUAGGUGGUGCAUGAGGCAUACGGAGGCAAACUUUCAUAGCCAAUUCAAAAACAAGAUCCUUAUGAAACUGUUUAAAUGGCUACGUACCCAGAAUCAGGAGAGGAAAUUCAAUCUACUUUGGAAGAAACUUCAUGAGCUUACAGAGAAACAAUCUGAAGAGCUAGGUAAGAGGCCGGUAAACAGUGAGGUGGACCACCCUGUGUCUCUAGAGGAUGUCGGACUGGAUGGUACAAAUGUCAGGCGAAGACGGGGUAGGUCCAUUAAGACAUUCUCACAGUGGAUUGAGCAUGAGCCAAAGGAAAAGUGGGCAUUACUAUAUGACGAGGGAGGUGCUAGGGACUGCCCCUUGUUGGUAUCGUGGAAUUAUUUUUAUACCGCACCAUUAAUUAUUUCAGGGAUCGGUACGUGGUGGCCAAUAAGUCAAUAGCCAAUAAUCAUAAAAUUUAUGGAUACAAGAUGACAGAGUACAUGGACAAGGUGAUACAAAAGAGCAUCGUGAAGCUUUCCCUCUAAGAAAUGUCAUCGUGGAGGGAUGACCAAAAUGGAAUUCUACCGUGGAAUGGGCACCCCAAAUGCCACUGCGGCUUCCGUGUGUGGUUGCAAGUAUGGGAGGAUCGAUUACCUCAAGGAAAGAAGGGGUAUAGGUACUUCAAGUGUCCUAACAUUGAUGGUGAUUUCAAGGUCCGUCCAUUCAUAAACAUUUUAAAUAUGUUUUCUAUGUACCGGUAACUAACUAAUCAUGAAUCAACAUGCAAGCUUGCACAUUUAUGGAAUGGAUCGACAAUAGACCUUUAGGGGAAGUGGGCAUAAUCCCAGUGGAGCUAGAGACCAAAGGCCAAUACUAUACUAGGCUGGAAGAGGCUCGAGAGGCAGCAUGUCUUACUCGGUUUGAGCAAGAACGACGCAUCCGCCAACAACAGAUCCGUUUGAAGGGCAAGGAGGAUGAACUGCAGAGACAGUGCGAGCAGUUAGAUGCUUGAGAGGCAGCACUGAAAUGGCAGGAGGAAUAAUUCAAAGCUCGUCAGGUGCAACUCCUACAAGAAAAAGAGCGACAGAAGAACUUGAAGAAGCAGGAUGGAGAAUGUUCCUCCAAAACAGCAAGGAUGGGGAAACUUCCCCGGUUCACUCAGUAGAACAUUAGUUGUGAUCCACCAAUUUACAUUACCUAAGACAUUCUAUCCUAGGCAAGGUGCUUUUUAGGUUUGUCAUAUUGGGCGCCUCACAUGCUAUUGUACUGUUGUUUGUACUGUGAUAACAUUUCGUCUUGAUGCUUUAAGUACUCAGAUUCCACCCUAUUGCCACUAUACUGCUCUGCUGCCAGUAUAGUACUCAAAUAGUGCUAAUCCAUUGUUGACGUGAACCGUCACUAAAAAGCCUACACAAUACACUGCAAGGAUCCUAAACGUGAGCCUUCUCAGGCAGAUGGGACUCCACACUGAGCCCUACGUUCCUGCACCUACAAAGCCUAUAUCUAAGCUUUUUCAGGAUGAUUGAACACAACGGGGUACUAAACAAAUGGAGGCACAAUGCAUCUCCAUCUUAACACUUCCUAUAUGAACCUCCCUCUCCCGUAUCCUUCCACACCACUGAGUAGGAGGAAGAACAAUGGCAUCAGCAAGAAAGAGAGGUUGUAGGAGGAGGGGAUGUUCUUAUUCCCACCAUCACUUGGCUAGGUUCUUUUAGCCAACGGAGUAUGAGGAACCCCUCGAUGACUUCACUCUGUAUGAUAGGGCUAACUAUGCCCCUCCAAAAUGCCUUAAACCUUAUGACAACCGCCAUGAUGCAUGGCGAAUGUGUUACCAUGGUGUGGCUUGCGUUGUGCAACUGUUUGAUGGCUACGAUGAUGGAAGCCGGUGUUUCUUUCGAUGCCCGUAUGACUUGGUGAGUUAUCUUAUUACUUCCUUACUCUUGCUAAGCUUUUCGUGCUACAAACUAACAUCAUGUUUAGUCUUAUCUUGAUGAAGGAAACUACCGUUAUGCGAAGUGGGUCGAUCCUUCACUUCCUGAGUCAACCCAAGAGUACAUCCACUACCUUAAGUGCAAGAUCUUUGACCUCGAGCGUAGGGUGGAGGAUCUUCAAUCCGAAGUUGAUGCAAAUCCUUGAGCGGUUAACAUGAUUAACAUCGCAGGUGACUUGAUUUGUACCAAUCCAUGGUGCAAAUACCCCUACCACCACAACAAGGAUCGCCCAUCGUCACUGCCUUCCUCUGGGGGUGCUGGAUAUUAUGAGGCUGGGCCCUCCCAGCUCUCGCAAAGCCAGUUCUACUAGAAAGUAGAGAUGGCUUUAUCCCUGACUAUUUCAAUUACCUAAGGCAUGUUAGGUUUAGCAACGGCAUAUGUUUAAAAUAGCAUCCGUACCGCACAUGCCACUACAAUCUAUAAUUAAUUGUUUAGUCUAGAGUCGAUGUAUUUUAUAGUCGGGAGUUAAUUCAAUUUGCAAUAUUUCAUCGAAGCAUGCUCUCUCUCCAAUUUGGAAGUUUCGUAUUGCAACUAAUAAUGAUAUAUUCAAAUAUUUAGCGCUUCCAACCUAACUUACAUUUUCAUAUCUAAGAAAACAAUCAUGAAAUCAAAAUAAUAAAAUAAAAUUACUAGAACUUAUAGCCAUCUCACAUGACUAUAGCCGUUCCAACUGGCUAUAGGCUUGUCCACCUCUUACAACUAGCGGAAGAAGGUAGGAGGGAUCUUACCGUCGUUUCAAACAGCUAUAGCCGUUUGGACUGGCUAUAGCCGUUUCAAACGGUGGUAAGGGUCCCUACCCCUGCAUCACCGCCACGUGCCUAACCACCGAUUCAAACGGCGGUAUCUAUUUUUAUUCUUUUUGGACUGACCUACCACCAUUUGAAACAGCUAUAGCCAUUUCAUCCGGCUGUAUAGGUCUAGUUCUGCUAAUUUUUUGCACGUGUAUUUAUUUUUGUAAAAUCAUAAAAUACAAAAUAUAGAAAUAAAAAAUCGACGAGAUGGCUUUAAAGCCCAAUACGGCCCAUCAUGGGUCAUCUUCCUCCUCCAGCGCCGCCGCCGCCGUCUUGUCCACGGCUUCUCCUUCCUCUCCGGCCGUCCUCCCUGUGGCGGAACCGCCCAACUUAAGCUGGUUUAAGUGCGUCUAAUCGCUGUCGGAACAGCAAUUAUCCGAAAUGCACCUAAAACAGCAUAAGUCCGGUAGUCCGUCGAGUGUCCCUAGGACUCCUCGAAGGAUCCACGAUGUGUCUCAUAGCCAUACAUCAGGAUAAUAUCCGCGAUGGGGUAAUAUCAACAAAUAUUACAUUUUUACAUACAUAUAAAAGGUACGAGUUAUUACCGAACAUAGAUUGAAACAAACUUAACAGUGCAGUGUUAGACAGAGUUCUAAGAUUUAAACAUAAACAGUUCAGGAGAGGAUGCGCAGGUAAAACUUUUUCUCUAGGGUAUUAUGAGAUUCCGGUCAAUACCCUAGGGCUUCGGGGUCUCCUCCUCUGUAGACUCCUGCGGAGCUUCUGAAAGAUAGCCACAAGGGGAAACCCCUGAGUACGGGGUACUCAGCAAGUCUUACCCGACUACCCAAUAUAAUAGUUUUCUUUGGAAUGCAUGCUAGCUUUUGGGUGUGUUUGGCUAACACAACUUUUGCCGAAAAGCUUACUACGAGUAAUGCCUUAGUUUUAUCUUUUAUUUGGGUUAAGUUAUUACCUAACCAUUCUAAAUGAUAACAGAAAGUAAAAACAACCAUAAAUGUUAAGCCAUACAUCAAAUAUCAACCAAAGGUAUAUAUAUAUAUAUAUUGCAUGAAUUGAUACUACGAUGCUCAACAGUGAUCAAGUGCAUUCAUAACCGAGAAUUGCGGCGAUCCGGAUCUAAUUACAUCCUGCAGGAGAGUACCCUGAUCACCAGUGUUAUACGACUGUCCAGGUCGUAUCUAACAACCUCUCGAUUAGCAAAAUCAAUGAUUAGGAAUACGACUACCCGGACCCAGGGAUGCACCCCCACAUGGGACCCCACGUCUGGCCCGAUCACCAUGUGAGUUUCAGGCUACAUCCCUGCCAAUCUCCAGCACGUCAAGCGCGGGUACGAAGUAUUCCCGAUCAUAGAGUUUACUAACCUACUGGGCUUUACUGGUCCCAUACCCAGUAAGUGAUCAGAUGUUUAUCACUUGAUCAAAGGUUAAGACAACGAAUCGGGCCUUAACCAAAUUAAUCUAGCAGACAGAACUACACCUCUAGUUUCUGUCCGCUUUCAACUUUCUAAGUUAUCUUCCAUAAGCAACAUGUAUGACUUAAAAGUUUUUCCUUAAGGUUGGUAAACCAAGCAUUCAAGCAACUAAGCAUUUCUAGACUUGGGUUAUCUUCUAAGGUUUGAACAAGUGGCAAAGAUGUCCUUAAAGCAACUCCUAGACUUAGUGCAUACAUAUAGCAAAUAACCGAUAAUUGGACACAUGAAAUAACGAUUCCAAAAUAGAUAGGUAUAAAUGCACCGGGGCUUGCCUUGUUCACUUAAAAAGUUAGUAUUCUCUGACGGGUUGGCUUCACAGGGGACUAACUCAAAAACUUCUUUGAACUCCGAAGGUCCUUCUGAAAAUUCCGAAUAUUCUCCUUCUGGUGCUUCGGGAUCUAUAGCAUAAUACAUGCAGGGGUCAGAAAUGCAAAAUUUUGAAUAAAAGACUAUACAACUCUCCUUCAUGAUAAAGUUGCAAGACAACAAGGACUAUACAACCUAUCAUGAUAAAGUUGCAAGCCAACACACAAAAACCCAAAAGAUUAACCCACAAUUUUAUUUUUCUUACUUAACCCUCCUUAUAGCUUUUUCUUUUAUCUUUAGAAAAAGUUAUAAUUAUUUUCUAACUUGAAAAUCUAAUUUCCUAUGAGUUAAGGAUAAUUUGUGAUUAAUAAAAUGUUAUUCAUAUUUUAUACAUUUUAUAAAUAUUAAGUAUUUAUUUAAUUACCUUAAAAGGAAGGCAUUAAAUAAAUACCCGAAUUUUUUUUAUUAUUUUUCUAGGGUGUAAAAAUUUUAAUGCAUAAAGGAAAAUAAAACAAGCCUAACAAAAUUGGUUUCACUAAUUUUGGACACUCCUAGAAAUUUCUGUGAUUAAAAUGGUGUAAAAUGGAUUUAAACUAAUUACUUUCCUAAAGGAAAUCUAAUUUUUUUCCGAAAAACACCCGGAUAAACUUUUCUUACCCAGCCCCACUCUACCCUCUCUCACGCGCACUGGGCCCCACGGCACGGACCCAUCUAUCCUCCUAUUCCUCCUACCCGCCGGCCCCCUUCUCCCUCUGACGGGCCCCGUGGGCCGUUUUUCUUUUUCCUUCUCCUUUUUCGGCCCGACACCGGCCCAACGGCCCUCUUCCCUUUUUCUCCUUUCCUCCGCGAGGCCGACCUGCUUCCCCUAGGCCUCCGGCCUUUUUUCCUUUUUCGGCUGACCGCGCGCGCAUCGCUGGGCUUCAAGGCCGCGGCCCAACAAACGGCCGCGCCUUCCCGGCCUCUUUCUCCCCCUCUCCCUUCUCACUGCCGCGCGGGCCCGAGCGCCCAGACGCUUCUUCCUCCUCCUGCCAAAACACGCGCGUGUAACAGGGGGCGGCGCGACUCGCCGGCCGGCGCCCCACCGGCGGCGAUGCUAGGUCAGGACAGCACCCCUACACCUUCACGCACCCGUGCGCGGCAACAGCUCCUCGGGAGAUGGCCGGAGCCAUUCCCUCCACGGCGGCGGGCGGCGACACCUUCGGCCGGUCGUGACUACUCACGACGACGGCACAACCUACUCAAACAACUACCUUUACACCAUCCUAGGACCCUAAGGACUCGCCUACGACUACUUAAGGAGGAAGAGGAGCAGCGCAAGGUAGGGCUCACCGUGAGCGGGCGGCGCGGCGAUGGCGGACAGAAGCGGCGGCGGUUCAAGGCGUGACGGCGAAGAAGCUGGGCAACAAGUUGCUAAGGUUGCUGGUGGGGUGUAAGCGGAGGUGUGGACGGGAAGAAUCGACGGGAGCUGCGGUGUGGCGGUGGAAUUUUGCUCGACGGCGGUGCUUGACAGAGGAGGUGCUGGCGGCGGUAAAAAGAGCGGCGGUGAAAACGGCGGUGCGGGAGCGGUAGUUAUUCAAGCAUUCACCGCGCGCAUGGGCGACACCGUGGCCUACCCAUAGGCUUAUGUGGUGAGGAGGUGGCCUAGCUAGACGCGCUAGCGAGCGACCGACGACGGCGGCAGCGACACGUCCUGCUGCUCUGUCACCGCUCCUCUUUUCUUCUUCUAACGCCCGUGACUUCAGAGCGAAAUUACGGCCGAUCUUCAAUCCAACGGUCCCCAAGCGCUUUAACAGAAGUUGGAGAUAAACUCAAACCCUUCACUUUUUAUUUUGGCUCUGACCCGAGAUAAUCAUCAAAUACAGUUGAAUUUUGAUUUGUUUCUCGGGUUCCUCUGAAGUUUACUAAAACUGAUAUUCAGUUCGUCAGUCAAUCAAGGUGCUCAUUUGCCCGACUUAGUGAUCCAUUUCGGUGAUCCAAAUUCCCUUCCCGUAGCUCAACUUCUUCCCAAUGAUGUUCUACAACCUCCAAAGUUUCCAUUUUGCCCAAGAACACCUACCCUUCUUGAUCUACAUUGCUUUGAAUUCAAAUUCAAAGUCGACCCUAUGCUGUCGGUUUCAGACUUAACCAUUUUUCAGUGACAGUCAACUGUGACAAUGUGCUGACUUUGAGCUAUAUUUCGAAAUUGUUCUCUUCCAUGUUCCUAGCCAACAACACCCAAAUCUUGUAGUCCAAAGUUCGUACUUCAAUAUGGUAUAGUUGUCCUGAUGCACUUAUUUGGAAAAUUCUUCAAAAUUCAAUUUGGAAAACAGACUCUGCUGCUGUUUUUCUGUGUUCUUAUUUUCAGACGAGGAACAGUAAACUCCAUUUUCCUUUUUCUUUCUUUAAUUUCUCUGAGCUAUUUAGCACCAAUUCUGUUCCAAAUCUUUGAUUCUUAAGUCCUAGUUACCCUUACACUUGCAUUCCACAUUUUUGCCGAAUUUUUCUGAAUUUCAAAUUCAAAAUUCAAAUUUCGGUCAAAUUUGACCCGAAUUUGAUUUUCGGCCAAUUUCUUUUUCUUUUCUUCUCAAUUUGCUUUUUAAUUCUUUAAAGUCACUUAGAUGACUAAAUUGGCAGCUUUUACACUCCCCCACCUCGCCGGACAACCACUUUGUCUCUAGUGACAGCCGCCGCCGGAUCUGCCUCUGUUGCCCCACCAUCGCUAACCGAGCCGUGACAUGACGACCCCCAAAAGCCUCCGCCACCGCGGUCGGCGGCUCCCAUCGCCUUACUGCACCGCCUUGCUCCCAUCCCACCAUCCCAACCCCGCCCAUCCGGUCAUCUCCCGUCAUCCCGGCCGGUGGCUACCGCCGCCGUCUCGCCCGCUACCACUGCCGGGCAAGCCACCCGCCCCGACCUCCUCUUUAAGCCGGCACACACCAAAGAACCCCCAACCCCCACUCCUGAAACCCUAACCUCCCACGAUGGUGGCGGAGCGUCACGCCUGAACGAGCGGACGGGGAAGGGUGUGGAGAAGAAAAUAGAUCGGACGUUCUGUAUCACGCGCACCAAUCUCAAAGAUCGGAAGCCAUAUAAGCUUCCUGGCUUCCGGAAGAUUGCCGCGUCCUAGUGGUGUGCGGUCUGGCCGUCUGGCCCAAUGUGCGCGUGGGCCGUAAGGUUGCGGUUUGUGCCUAUAGGGCUGAGCCCAAUAAGUCUCAGCCCACGGGUAGGAUCCGGUUUCUAGCUGUUGUGCUGUUCAGCGUCGACCGUCGACGCCGUCGGUUGCCCAUGGCCUCUCUGCUAUAUCAACAUACGGUAACAAUCAUGAUGCACGUGCUGUUGGCCACCGCGUGUAUAGAGUAGACUUUACAUGUACGUAAAAAAAUACCAGAGAAAUCUGUUACAUCUCGCUGCAAUGAUUUAUGCACCAUCCUUUUCAACGCGUGUGUGUCAUAUGGAUAGCUAGAUUGAUCCUUGAACACUUUAACGUCCACGGAUUCAUCGAUACAUAUUCUCUUUAUAGUAUAGCGUACUAACUCAAUUUCAAAAUAGACAAUGAAUUUAAAUCUUCCCCUGUACGGCAUACAUCAUGAUCAUUGGGGAUUUGCAGAUCAUACACAAUCACAAGUUUUAUUAUACACCUUGCCACCUGUCCGUAUUCUUAACAUAUUUAUUAGUACUUUGGUUAUGUUUAUCAUUAUAAUCAACCAAACCCACUAGAGAGAGCCUGAUGCACUUUCAACUUUACGUGUGCAUAAAAAAACUUGAGAGAAAUCUAUUAGAUCUAGAUGCAAUGACAUAAGCAUCAUCCAUUCCAUGUUUUUUCAAGGAAACACCCCUUUGAUGUAUAAAACAUUGCUAAUGAUUUUUUUCUUUGAAAUGAACCAGACGGAAGAGCUGCCGAUUAUAUUUAAAAAAAAGAACGAAUCCAGACUAGAUAAAACAACAAACAAUAACAUCGACCGGUUGGAUUGGAACAUCAGCACAGCCACACAGUUCCAUCGAACUACUCAACUCAAAUAACAAUAACGCAGGAUUGGAUUGGGACAUCAACAUGUGCCGCACAACACAAAUCACCACUCUCGAUACAAUGAAACUAUCUCCAGUCGGUUGAAUUGUGACAUCAACACAUGUCGUACAAAGACAUGAUUCCGCCGCAGCUAAACAACAGCACCACCUCCGGUCACCACCAGCUACCACACCGCUAGAACGCCUCACCCGUGAGGCCUGCCACCAGCUCUCUUUUUUUUUUCUUUUUCUUCUUUUAUUAACUUCUUCCUCACUAGCAAGGCAAGCAAGGCAUGAACUUCCAAAGUGACGCCUCCAGGGAGAGGUAUGACGCUGCUGGCGUCACCGUCGCCUGACCAGAUAGUCUAGAUAAACACGGGCAGCACAAGGGGAAAAGGGGCAAAUUGAUAGGCACUUCCAACGAAGUAAACGUCGCCUAAACACGUCACCAUCAUCGGCCUGUAGCAGGCAUGGCUUUCACCAUGAUCCCCGAACCCCGUGCACAGGCUGCCCUCGCCAUACCACGUGAGCCAUUGAUCCCGCCACCAAACUUGGAUGUCAGACUCGGAUGUCCCCGCUGUCACCAGAGGACACCAUGCACGCUGUGAGAGCAGCCGCGGCAACACCACGCACGAUUGCUGAUGAAUUGUUUUUGAGCUGUUGGGAAUGUGAUCAGCAACAAGGCUAGAUUGGUAUGCUUUGCAAGCGCUGUUGGAUGCAAUGCAUUAUCUUUUAUCCUCUAGCCAAGCUCGACUUUACCCUUUUUUUUGAAUUGGGAGUACUGCGGUGCCUCUGGUCCAAGAUGUUGGUCAAUUUUUAGAAAUUAAUAAAUGAAAACGAAUCAUGGAUUGGCCAUGUAAGAUAGGUGCUACUAGAUGUUAGAUACAUGCUACAAGUUUCAUUACAAAUAAUAUUUAAUUAUUGCACCUCGUGGUAUGGGUCAGCAAUUCCAAACAAUGAAUCAAAAAAAAUACUAUUUAAUUUUUUUCGAAACGUAAUAUUUUAAUAUAAAUCGGCCGUCAGAGUGUUAUUUCAAAGACAGCAAAAAUAUCACCUUUGGAUGUUUUCCUUAUUUCUUAUUUUAAUAUCUUCAGGAUAAUUGUCCAUGAAAAUUCAUAUUUUGAAAAGGUGAUGGCAUAGAGUUUUUGUCGGUUGCUGUCGGAGUAUAUGUGCACCACAUAGCUGUAACUGAAACCGUUACGUAUAUUUUGAAUUAGAAAGACAACCACUACCACAGGGGCGAGGAAACCUUCCUGACGGGGAACCGACAGGAACACGACGACAGGGACAGCUACUCAGGAAAGACCAGUUACUCCUGACGGGUGUCUAACAGGAAACAAUUCCCGUCGGCAGCUCCUGACGGGAAGGAACCGGCCGACCAGUUGCAGUUACUGUGGCCGCAACCGACAGGAAUUACCGUCAGGAAACAUAAAAUCGACAGGAACCAAACGUGUUCCCCUGACAGCGGGCCCCGUCAGGAUAGACCUGUUGGCCAACGGGAAUUCAUCAGUGUUCCUGACGGUGUGCACCGAUAGGGAAAACCUCCUGCAUUUUGUAUCUAUUACCAUCAUCAGUUUAAUUCAAAUGGCCCCACAACAUUCAUACAACAUCAAUUUAAUUCAAAUGUCCAGGAUAAGACACAGUACACAUUAAACAUGUCACAUGAGCCAUCCAGAUUAAUUCAAGUAGCACUAACAGAUACAAUCAUCCAAAGUGUCCAUCAUGUCUGGCUAGCACAUAGGCAUAGCAGCAUGCAUGUCCAGCAUGCCCAGCUCCAACACUUUAACCAAGGAGCAAGUCAAGAUCAGUAGUUCAUGAGUCGACUACAUAGGAUGUCAACUGCACAAAACUAGCAAGUCCUACUGCUAGCAAAAGGAGAGGCAUUUUCACUUUCUACCACAUGAUACUACACAAAAAGCAAGUCUUCACAAAAGAAAAGAGGCAUGCUGUACCCUUCACCAUUUCAUUCCAGAGUAGGGUCAUCUUCAUUGUCAUCGUUGCCAUUGCUAGAAGCGUCAUUGCCAUUGCCAGAUGCGCUGAUGCUGUUGCCAGAUGCAUAGUUGCCAUUGCCACAAGCCCUGUUGCCUAAAGUGCCGCUACCAGCACCAUUUUCAGCUUCGGAUGACGACUGACUAACCUGCAAGUAGAUAGAAAUCAAAAGGGUGAAUGGUUGGAAGAACUGCAAUAUAAAUUUGGCUACAUAUGAGAAGCUCAACAUGUCUGAUUAGAUCUCAACUGCUAAAAGCAUUGCACCAAAAAUUUAGUUCCAUCCAGCACACAAUGAUGGACAGUAACAUUUUAACACAAAGAUAGAUUAGAUAUGAACAUGAUGGACAGUAACAUUUUAGACAUACUGGAAUGUGUUUACAACAGUCAAGGGGGGUAAACUAGACCAUAUCUUGGAAUGUGUCUUUAAUUUGACACUGUCAGCAGCAUAUCUUUGAAUCAAAAUUUAUAGUUGAAAGGCCUAAAGCCUCACAGGUACCCAGGAGCUCACGCACAGAACACACACAUACACAGUAGUCUUUUUUGUGCUGCAAUUGCUCGCUACCUUUUCUUUUUUCUUCUCUAUUUAUACGCAGCCGAGACCUACAAUAGGACCUGUAAUUGAAAGCUAAUAGCUACAGCCAUCACUACCUUGGUUGGCUUAUUAUUCUCACUAACUAGCAGCUGGAAAACUGCUAAGUAAAUAGGCUCAGUUCCAGGGCAGAAAGUUGAGUUGCAGCAUGUAACACUAGUGAUCAAAUAAAGUAUUCUUGGACAGUAACACUAAUGAUCCUCUGAGAUAUGCAAUGAUCCUAUUUGCAGCAGCAUGUACAGAACAAGAUCAAAUAAAGUGCAUGGUAGUACUGCACCUGCUCGCUUGAUGGUGCACAAGUAUUUGCUUCUUGCAGAAUGGCGACUAUUUCUUCUAGUACUGACAUGUUCAUCUUGGCAAAAAGAUCCUAACAGUGGCACAAUCAGGAAAUGCUUCCAAGAAUCAUUAGGUGGCUACAAAGUGAGUUGAGGUAACUCAAUUACCGGCAUAUGUUUGCACAAAACUAGACCAAUCUGGUAGCCCUUCUCCAGUUGUGCGUUCCGCCUUACAAGAUAUUGAUAAGACCCCGAGUUUGAUUGUCUUGUACCCCUAGCACUUGCUUUCAUAUCACAUUUCCUUAAAGCGCCAUUUGCUAUUGGCACACGGCCAUGAGCCAAGCCAUUCCUACUACUUGGUACAGGGCAUCAGCAUCAAGCUUCCCAUCAUUCUUACGCUGCUCAAAGUCAUUUGGAUGCAAAGCUUCAAGAGUAGCAAAAUAAUCAUCCUAAUAAAGGAAAAACCUCAAGUUAUCUUUCAGAUCAGGUUAUAAACAUUAAAAUUUUGAAAGGAACAAAGUGUGGCAACUUACAACACGCCUUUGGGCCUUUUCUGUUAGGAUUAGACAGCUUUUGCCAUUGCUAUCACAAUUUUUUACACCUGACUUCAUGCAGCAGUAAGUGUUGAUGUCAGCGGCAGCUUCAGGGUCAUACUUCUUUGCCUUGGACAUAGGAGACGCAAUCAGCAACACAGCGGCAAUAACAAAAUAUAGUAGAAACUGUUGGAUAUAUAAGCACUUUUAGUUUUAAUUUAAUCCAGAAAUAAAUCAUGAAUACGAUGAACAGACAGCAGAUUAAACUAGACAUGUCUACGCAAGAUCUAGACAAGUCUAUCAUGCAAAUAGAAUCACACAUUCUACCAUACUAUCCAGUGCUAUCAGACUACAACAUAUCAUAAUAGCUAGUAUGGAAGACAUAAUUUGAGUUAAGAGAUCGUACGUUUCUUUCUUGAUGAAGACCGGCUCCUGGACGACUACUGGGUACAGCAGCCGACGACGAUCAGCAGCCUGACGUUGUUCGUGACGGCGAGUGAGGCCCGAGCGACGAAGAGGUAGACGAGCCGUGGUGAAGGAGUCGACGAAGAACUUGACGAAGCGGAGGAAGCGAUCGAGCAGUCGCGCAGAGCGCUUCCCAAAAACCUUAUUCGCCCUCUCCCGGUGCAGGAUCGCUGAAGGCGACGGUUCCGGAGACCUGCUCUCCCAAUCGCCGGUGCACGCCGACAAUCGGGAUGGAGUAGACUACGGUGGCGGCGCAGCAGCGAGAGGAGGCAAAAACCCUAGCUCGAAUAGAUUUGUUUAUGGUAGAGGCCGGUAGGUCGCAUAUAUAGGAGAGCCCACGAUUCUCACGUGCCCGCGCCCUUCGCCCGGCCCGGCCCGGCCCGGCGAGGCGAGGCGAGGCGAGGCGAGGCGAGGCGUGGCGUGGCGAGCGAGCGCGCGUGUGUGGAGCUCUUCUUCCCUCCCCACACACAUAGCUUGGAGGAGUGGAGACAACUUCCAUAUUUAAGUUGGUCAUCCCUCCCCUCCACUAGCAAUGUGGGACUAAAGACUUGCACCACUCCACCUCUUGCCCACAUGGGCCUUUGAGAUUUAUUUGAAAUUCUGAAAUUCCUUAUGGGCUAGGCCCAUUAUUUCAACAAUCCCCCACCAGAUCUCAAAUGCCCAUCAGAGAUUUUGCCUGUUUCUCACUGAUGUUUAUAUACUAGUGUUUCGGUGAGGACUGUUAAGUUGAACUCUCGCCUAGAGCUUCAAGCUACAUUCAUCCACAACUUGAACAAUGGACUAAGCCUUGAAUUGCAAGUUUUGUGCGGACAAGUUUCACUCAAAGUCGGGACUAGUACCUGGCUGCCUGUAGCCUACCCCGCGGGUGGGGCAUAUAGGUCGUACCCCCUGGUCUCUUCAUGAGCUUAAUAGAGAUCACCCAAGUCUCAUAGACUGCGACCUUACAACAGUCGGGCUCAUAUAGGUAUAUUUUUCCAAAAUGUUCUGCAGGGGCAACAUCUUUGCUAAUUAAAGCCAACAAAAUAUAUUAAGGCAGUAGCCAGCCUGCCAUGCAGUGGUUUGAGAGUGUUGCAUCAUUUCUCGAGUGGGUUAGUAGGAUACUCUCAUGCUAUCCCAUGGCUUGUUCUUCCCAGAUCCUACUUCAUGGGAUCUCCGAUCACAUAGGUUGGGUUACCACCACGGUGUAGCUCAUAUGGGUCUCAUACCCAUCUCCUUUGAUGCAUUGUCUAUCACAUUACGUGACAGCCCCUUAGUGAACUGAUCUGCCAAGUUCUUAUCAGUUGAGAUGUAAUCCACUGAUAUUACUCCGGAGUUUCUCAUUUUCCUGACAGAUUUCAGACGUCUCUUAACGUGUCUUGAUAACUUCAUAUUGUCCUUAGAAUUGUUCACUUUGACUAUCACUGUUUGAUUGUCACAAUUCAUAAGUAUUGCCGGCAUAGGUUUCUCGACAAUAGGCAAGUCCACCAAGAGUUCACGUAGCCAAUCAGCCUCAACUGUGGCUGUAUCUAAUGCUGCAAGUUCUGCUUCCAUGGUAGACCUCGUUAAGAUAGUCUGUUAGGAUGACCUCCAUGAAACAGCACCACCACCAAGAGUGAAGACGUAUCCACUUGUGGCAUACAGUUCAUCAACAUCAGAUAUCCAAUUUGAAUCACUAUAGCCUUCCAGUACUGCAGGAUACCCGGAGUAGUGAAUUCCGUAAUCCAUAGUGCUAACUAAAUAGCGCAUGACUCGCUCAAGCGCACGCCAAUGAUCAUCUCCCGGAUUAGAGGUAAACUGGCUCAGUUUGCAAACAGCAUAUGAGAUGUCAGGCCUAGUAGCACUGGCUAAAUACAUAAGUGAUCCAAUAAUCUGAGAGUAUCUUAAUUAGUCUCUACCAAUUCUCUUGUUUUUCCGAAGUAUCAAGCUCGGAUCAUAAGGUGUGGGAGAAGGCUUACUAUCCUUAAAGCCAAACCGGCUCAAGACCUUUUCCACAUAAUGAGAUUGCGUGAGAGUAAUCCCAUUCUCUCCUUUGAUCAGCUUGAUAUUCAGAAUUACAUCAGCCUCUCCAAGAUCUUUCAUGUCGAAAUUUUGGCACAGAAAUAACUUGACCUCUUUGAUCACAUCAAGAUUUGUACCAAAGAUCAGUAUGUCAUCGACAUACAAGCACAAUAUAACUCCCUCACCCCCACCAUGGCGGUAGUACACACAUCUAUCAGCCUCAUUGACAGAAAAGCCUGCUGAUAUGAGUGUAGUAUCAAAUUUCUCAUGCCACUGCUUAGGUGCUUGUUUCAGGCCAUACAAAGAUUUCAGCAAUUUACACACCUUGUUCUCUUGACCCUUUAUUACAAACCCAUCAGGCUGAUUCAUAUAAAUUUCCUCAUCCAACUCUCCAUUAAGGAAAGCUGUCUUAACAUCCAUCUGAUGGACGAGAAGACCAUGUGAGGCAGCAAGGGAAAGUAAUACUCGAAUACUGGUCAAUCUCGCAACAGGUGAGUAGGUGUCGAAGAAAUCUUCACCUUCUUUCUGGGUAUAACCCUUAGCCACAAGUCGAGCCUUGUACUUAUCAAUAGUACCAUCAGGCCUAAGCUUCUUUUUGAACACCCACUUGCAACCCACAGGUUUACAACCAUACGAUCGAUCAACAACCUCCCAAGUUCCAUUAGAAAGAAUAGAGUCCAUCUCACUAUGGAUAGCUUCUUUCCAAUCAUCUGCAUCUGGAGAUGCAAAUGCCUCUGAAAUAGUCUUAGGAGUAUCGUCUACGAGAUAGACAGUGAAAUCAUCACCAAAGGACUUUGCAGUUCUUUGUCUCUUGCUCCUCUUAGGAGCUUCACUGUUAACCUCCUCAUGAACUGGCUCAAGUGUUUGUUCAGCAUGAUCAGGACGCACAAUAGGUUCAAGAGUUGUCUCAGCAAUCAUAUCAGAAGAUAGUCUAGACAUACUAUGCAAUUGUUUCAUAGGAAAUAUAUUCUCAAAGAACGUAACAUCACGAGACUCCAUCAAGGUAUUAACAUGAACAUCAGGCACCUCUGAUUUAACCACUAAAAAUCUAUAGGCUAUGCUAUGAUGAGCAUAUCCCAAAAAGACACAAUCCACAGUUUUAGGUCCCAACUUACGUUUCUUGUUGAUUGGCACACUAACUUUGGCCAAGCAACCCCAAGUGCGUAAGUAUGAAAGUGAUGGUUUUCUUCCAAUCCAUUCUUCAUAGGGAGUUUUCUCCUUAUUCUUCAUGGGUACUUUAUUCAGGACAUGACAUGAAGUCAAUAUAGCCUCCCCCCACCAUGCCUUAGAUAAUCCACUGGUGUCUAACAUGGUGUUCACCAAGUCAGUCAAGGUGCGAUUCUUUCUUUCGGCAACCCCGUUUGAUUGGGGCGAAUAGGGAGGCGUCCUCUCAUGUACAAUACCAUGUUCUUCACAGAACAAGUCGAAAUCAUUAGAGAAAUACUCGCCACCACGAUCAGACCUAAUUCUCUUGAUCUUUUUCUCAAGUUGAUUCUCAACUUCAGCCUUAUAGAUUUUAAAGUAGUUAAGAGCCUCAUCUUUCAUUUUCAAUAAAUAUACAUAGCAAUAUCUAGACGCAUCAUCUAUCAAAGUCAUGAAAUAUCUUUUUCCACCUUUGGUCAACACACCAUUCAUCUCGCAUAUAUCAGAAUGAAUGAGUUCAAGUGGUGCCAAGUGUCUCUCCUCGGCUACCUUGUGAGGUUUUCGAGGUUGCUUAGAUUGCACACAACUAUGGCACUUAGAACCUUUGACAAUGGAAAAAUUCGGAAUUAAACACAGGCUAGAAAGUCGAGACAUAGAACCAAAAUUCAGAUGACAUAAACGUGAAUGCCAAACACUAGCAUCACUCUCAUUAAUACCAUCACAAAUAUAGUUCACAGACUUAUUGCAAUAAUCUGAAAGGGAAAAGCGGAACAAGCCUCCGCACUCAUAGCCUUUACUAAUAAAUUGUCCACUCUUAGACACGACAAUUUUAUUAGACUCAAGCACUACCUUAAAACCAUCCCUACACAAAAGGGAGCCACUAACUAGAUUCUUCCUGAUAGAAGGGACAUGCUGCACGUUCUUCAGUUGCACGAUCUUUCCCAAAGUAAACUUCAGAUCUACCGUACCAACACCAUGAACAGAAGCAUGUGACCCAUUCCCCAUUAGGAUGGAGGAAUCCCGAGCGACCUGGUAAGAUGAAAAUAAGGAGGCAUCAGCACACACAUGAAUAUUAGCACCAGUAUCAAGCCACCAAGUGUUAGUAGACUGAAACAUUAAAAAAACAGAAGGUAAAUUACCAUACCCACUAUUUCCGUCUCCAGCGCUGGUCACCAUGCUCACAGACUUCUGCUGUGGAGGUUUUCUUCCUUUGCGGUUUGGGCACUUCUUUGCCCAAUGGUCAGUAGAACCGCACACGAAGCAUCUCUCGUUCUCCUUGUUCUUCUUCUUCUUGAAGGUAGUGGACUGCUUAGGCUUAUUGUUCUUACCCUUGCCCUUGCCACCAUUGCCAUUGUGAUGUGAUUGGUGCACCAUAUUGGCACUGGUCUGACUCUCAACAGCUUUAGAUCGUCCAUCUUUAGCUCGAGCUUUCUCCUCAACAUCAAGAGACGCAAUCAGGUCUGAAACAGAAAUUUUUGUCCUCUUGUGUUUGAGAGAAGUGGCGAAAUCCCUCCAGGAUGGAGGUAACUUGGCAAUAAUGCCCCCAGCCACAAACUUGUCGGACACGACAAUCUUUAGCAGAUCGAGUUCCUUCACCAUGCACUGUAAUUCAUGAGCCUGAGCGACUACAGAUUUUCCAUCAACCAUCUUGUAGUCAUGAUACUGCUCAAUGAUGUACAGUUCAGUGCCAGUAUCUGAGCCACCGUAGUUGGCAGUCAGAUCGUCCCACAACUCCUUUGCGACCGUGUGAUGAAGAUACACAUCCUGCAGAUGUUCUGCAAGUGCACCAAUCACAGCGCCCAAGAAGAUUGUGUUGGCUUUCGAAUAUUCUUUCUCCUUUUCAGGAGAGAGAACCCCUUCCGGCUUGCCAUUGGACACCCAGAACACCUUCAUGGUAGUAAGCCACAGCGUGGCUUUCACCUGCCACCUCUUGAAGUGCACGCCAGCAAACAGUGCUGGCCUCAGUGCAUCAAGAAAUCCAGCCAUAAAACUAAAGUGCCUACAAUAAGGUUUUUGGAUUAUUGGAUAUAUAAGCACUUUUAGUUUUAAUUUAAUCUAGAAAUAAAUCAUGAAUAAGAUGAACAGACAGCAGAUUAAACUAGACAUGUCUACGCAAAGAUCUAGACAAGUCUAUUCAUUGCAAAUAGAAUCACACAUUCUACCAUACUAUCCAGUGCUAUCAGACUGCAACAGAUCAUAAUAGCUAGUAUGGAAGACAUAAUUUGAGUUAAGAGAUCGUACGUUUCUUUCUUGAUGAAGACCGGCUCCUGGACGACUACUGGGUACAGCAGCCGAUGACGAUCAGCAGCAUGACGUUGUUCGCGACGGCGAGUGAGGCCCGAGCGACGAAGAGGUAGACGAGCCGUGGUGAAGGAGUCGACGAAGAACUUGACGAAGCGGAGGAAGCGAUCGAGCAGUCGCGCAGAGCGCUUCCCAAAAACCUUAUUCGCCCUCUCCUGGUGCAGGAUCGCUGAAGGCGAUGGUUCCGUAGACCUGCUCUCCCAAUCGCCGGUGCACGCCAACAAUCGGGAUGGAGUAGACUACGGUGGCGGCGCAGCAGCGAGAGGAGGCAAAAACCCUAGCUCGAAUAGAUUUGUUUAUGGUAGAGGCCGGUAGGUCGCAUAUAUAGGAGAGCCCACGAUUCUCACGUCGCGAUCGUGAUCUAAACCCGUUAGGAUUCCAUAUAUCUCGCUGACUUAAAGACCAAGUAACCAAAAAAUAAAACGGCAAAAGGAAGCCGCGCCCCCGCAAGGCGAGGGACCGGAUUUCUGCGGACCAUUCACGCAGGUGCCGCGCGCCCACGCCCUUCGCCCGGCCCGGCCCGGCGUGGCGAGCGAGCGCGCGCGUGUGGAGCUCUUCUUCCCUCCCCACACACAUAGCUUGGAGGAGUGGAGACAACUUCCAUAUUUAAGUUGGUCAUCCCUCCCCUCCACUAGCAAGGUGGGACUAAAGACUUGCACCACUCCACCUCUUGCCCACAUGGGCCUUUGAGAUUUAUUUGAAAUUCUGAAAUUCCUUAUGGGCUAGGCCCAUUAUUUCAACAGAAACUAAUGUACAAUUCAGAAGUAACUAAAAUACAAGAUAGAAAGUCACAUUGACUUACCAAAUAUCACUUGGUCUGGCUAUGUGGUCGAGAUCCGCCUCUGUUUUGAGCAAAGUCAGGCUGCAUCCGCGAUCCUUGAGCAAGACGGCACUUCUUUAAGAAACCUGGUGAGCACCAAUAAGCACAUAUCUUGCGCCAUGCCUCAUCAGAAAUCCAUUCUGGCCAAACCUUCAAAUAUUGUGUUUCACGGAGCAAUUUCUUGCGAGCAACUUUGUCAUUUAUCCGCUGAUCUAGGAAAUCGUCAUAAUAGGCCUUCACAGCACUCACACGAAGCUCAUACAUCAUGUUUUUGCAUUGCUUGGCAGCAAAUCUCUCAACAACUUCCUCAGCAUGUAAUCUGUCUUCCUCACUCACUGAAUAGAUACUCUGCACUAAAAAAUAGAAUACUCAGCCCAUGUACACCUAUGCUAAUAAAUCCUACAAAGCUGAACAAAAAGAUGACAUAUGUUUGAACUUUUUUACUCACCCAAAACUCUUCUGAAAUGAUAAGCUCAUCCAAUGCUCAUCUCUGGUAAUACUAUAAUGAUCCCAUAUCUUUGCAUAAAAUGUUUUCUUAGGACCAUCUUUAACAAUGGAAGGGUAUUCAAGUUUUAGGAUUUCUGUUAUUUGACCACCAAUCACUAUUUCCUUAUCAGAUGAAUCGUUCACAAACUUAAAUUGUCUAUGAGAAAAAGUGAAGACUUAUUAUAGGAUAGCAACAUUAUACAAGAAAAUUUGUGGACAGUAAUACUACAUAUCCAUUAACUAGAAAAGAAAACCACUACUAAAGCAUUAACAUAGACAACCACUAGUGAACCACUACUGAAACAUUAACUAGGCAAUGAAACGAAUCAAUUCUAUGAAUUUCCCAAAGAAAAAGGGUAUCAGAAGAUGUACUCACUCAUCUCCAACAUGUUUAAUAGGAAUCUGUUAGCCAUUUGGGGGUCUUUUUAGCUUGGUAGGUCCCCUCUUCUUCUUUCUUUGGCUUCCUUGCUAUUUGCAAUGGCACUUGGGAGGAGGGCGGCGGCGAUAGUGGGGGGAACGGCGGAGGGGAAGCAGCGGUAGUGGGGGAGGGACAACGGCAGGGGAGCGGCGGUCGGGGGAGCAGCGGUCGUGGUGGAUGGACGGCGUCGGGGGAGUGGCGGUCCAGCGGAGGGACGACGUCAGGGCCUUGGGGGAGUGGCGGCGGGGAUGCGCAUGUUGGCCGAGCGGUUGCUGAUGCUCUUUAUUGACACACUUUUUCCCAUGUUUAUCUUUAAUAAUGACAUGAAUUUAAUACAUAAACUAAUGAUCACACCUAAUAAAUCGGUCAUUUUCACAUGUGCAACAUAUUUUGGAGGAUAUUUUGUUUUUGCAGGGAAUUGUACCUAAAAGCAUAUUUUUGGAUAAAGCACCGAAUGAGCAUCGAACCAGACUAAGACGAAGGCCAACGGGACUACGAAGGGCUUAGGCCGAUCGGCCAAGAGGAGCCCAGGCCGAUCGGCCUAGGAUCCUCUAGCGCCUCCUGAUGCCCAUCUUUGGCAAGCAAUCAUUCGAGAUGAUUUAAGAGCUAAGUUUGUAAAAACAUGGCAAGGAUGACUUCGAGAUCAAAGAAGAAUCAAAAAAGAUUAAGCGGAGAUUUGGAAAGUUAUUGAAGAUCAAUUUCAUCCCGAAGCUACCGACAUGCCAGGCCCACAUGCAAGUGAAAAUAAGACACCUGAGCAUCUAAGAAGACUUGGGAGUUUCCUUCGCCCCCUCGCCUUCUAAUUUUUACCAUGCGCUCUCUAGACUAUAAAUACCUCAAAAAUCCAUCGAGCCCCAUAUCCAAGAUGAUGUACUCGAUGUGAAGCGGUAGAGAAGCAAAACGAGCUUGAGGGACACCUCUCCGGAGAGCCGAGAGCCGUGCAAUUGUUGGGGGUUAGCGUAGCUGAACCUCUGCCGGCGUGAUCACCCUGCGAGGAAGAUCACACUGGAGUUCUGGAGCUAGCAAUCAUCAAGAUCAAGGUAGGAUCCCUGUGGUGAUCUUGCAAUGUACAAUCAUUCAUGAUGAAGUAAUAGAUGUGUUCAUAUUCUUAGCGAUCUAAGUAUCUCCUUUGAUGAUUUUAUGCUUUAUCGAGUUUGCUUGCUUUUCCAUCUAUGGAUCGAUGAUAUAUUGUUUAGGGUGUUCUUGUGGUCGUGAUGACUAGAUUUGCAUGGCUGAUCUACCGAUGAGUAUGACAUGUUCUCUUGAUCAUGCCCUUAACCUGCUUGCGCUGAUAAAGGUGAUCGUGACAGGAUCUUUCUUAUGUAAGGUGGAGGGUUUCAGGAUCUGGACCGGAGGUGUAGAUUUAAAGAUGCUUUUUACUAGAAUCAUAUCUAUGUUAUUUUGCUAUCCAUGCUCAGAAUUACAACAUAUGCAUAGUCUAGGUUGCUCUAGAUUGGUUAUCUCUGAUCUAUCUAUUAUCUGUCUAUACAUGCUCAGUAGAUUGGAUCUGAAUCUCUCAUAAACACCAAGUUAAUACUAACAAUGCUAGUUGAAAUAGAUCUUAUGCUAUAAGUUCUAUGGAUUGAUAAACCUUAGGAGAAUACUAUGAGGGAAGAGCUACAACUGAUCCGUACGUUUGCGGUUCACAAUUGGCGUGCUAACAGCCGUCAACAGCGGCCAAGCACGAGGUGGCGGUGAGAUUGGGAUAGGGUUCCGAGGGGAGGAGAGGCUUGGGGUAUUUUGAUGCAUUGGUGUUAGUACGUGGGUCCGAGUGUGGGAUAGGGCGGGAUAGAAGUGCGCCCGGCCAAUUUUUUGCCCAAGACUGAUUUUUCGACGCGUGGGAGUGAAAUGCUACGCGGGUUCAGUGCGAGCGCCCGACGGAACAAGGUUUCCUGUCGGUUUUUUCUACCAUCGGGACCACCACAUAAUUCCUACCGGUUUUCCAAUAUCCUGACGGUUUAGCGAAACCGAUAGGAAUUCGGGGCUGGUUUCCUGUUGGUUUUUCCCCUCCGAUGGGAUUGUGCAAGGAUUCCUGUCGGUUUUCUUAAAACCGACGGGAAAAAUAAAAACCGACAGGAAUUUCCAGUUUUCUGGUAGUGAACUAGGAGAGAAGUUUACAAAGAAAACAGACAGGAAAAAUAAAAACCGACAGGAAUCUCUGGUUUUCUGGUAGUGAACUAGGAGAGAAGUUUACAAACACUGGAGAGUGAUGCAGCAAGAAGUCCACACUCCAUAGUCCAUAGUCCAUACUAGGACUCCAGUAGACUACCAGUGCAUCGGAAAAAUCUUCUCCGUUCACUUGAUUUUCACCUAAUCAGGAACAUUCCCCUGAAGGUUUGUACUAGAUUCUAAAGAAACUUCCCUUUUUUGCAUUCCGUGUUGUAAAUUCACAUGAUUUUGGAAUGGAAAAAGUAAUACCAAGUCCUGCAUCCUCUCAAGUUUCAAGCACAAAUAAGUUUCAUAUUCUCCUAAGUAAUUGUUACAUUUGUACUGCUAUACUUGACUUCCAAAUGAACUUCAUAUGAAAGGAAGUGUGUGUUAUGGGGAAAUGAAAAUCACAAACGUGUUUCACUGAACAUCAAAACACGUGAUCGAAGAUGGUAAUAGAAAAAAUGUUCAAAAGUACUAUAUACGGCUGAGUUAUUCCUACUACUAUAUAGCAAUAAAAAGAAAAGAAGGAAACUUCAAGGUAGCUACACCUAUACAUGGAUGUAAUUAACAAGCAACUCCAAUUGUAUUUCCACUGUAGUCUACUAGAAACCAGAAUAUGCAACACAAAAGGAUGUGAUGAACACAUGAUCCAAACUGCUAUAAAGAUUACAGGGUACCUAUGUGGAUAUUGUGUUAGAGAAUGAAAAAACAAGAGAGCAUACAUACUUAUCAUGUAUGAUGUCACGUUAGAAAAAAGAAGUCAAAUAAACAUGACAAUUGGACACUUUAGAAACAUAGGUGAUACAUCACAACCAAAAUUUCUAGGUUAGUCGGUGGUGAAGAGCAAUCAUUUUCUAUUUAGGUGGUACAUAGACCAAAAAUUCUAUGUUAGUCGGCGGUGAAAAACAAUCAUUUUCUAGACGUCAUUUCCUUCCGAGAACGUCAAGAGUGAUUUCUCCCUAUAUAGUUGUAGGAACCAGUAAUUUAUGCAUUGAGCAAAAAUGAUUGAUCAAUAGUUCUAAAGAAAAUAGUGGCAGUUUAUGUAUUUGAAUUCUUGAAAGAGUACAGCUCGUGAGUGUGACAAUCGGGAAAAGAAAAGAAUACCUCCCAGUAUAUCCCAGAGGCAGCGAAGGACAAAGGGCCCGUUCAAACUUUGCUACAGUACUCCGGUAGUAUGUGGCUGUGCUGCUCUUAACUUUGCUAAACGGGACAUGCCGUCCUUUAUACUGCAGGGUUCUCAGUUUUGGGAGGACCGUAUGGUCCAAUAGUUUCUUUUAGACGGAAUGGGCCAUGCACUCUCUUUUUCUUUUGACAAAAUGGGCCAUGGUUUUUAAACGAUAUGGGCAAUUGUCGCUUAUGAUGGCAACUAUGGGCUCGUCUUGGCUAUGAACCCAAGCCCAGUUCUUGCAGGUGUGGGUGUGUCAGCAGAACUGCGGCCUGGCCCGCACGCGCACGGGCGCGGGGCACCCGUCGGCGCCUCGGCGGCCGCCUGCCCGCCUCCAUCGCGGGCUUCAGGCGAGUACGCGACGGCACGCGCACUCCGCCCCCGCCAGCCAGAACCCUGGCCGCAGCUGUGCGCGCCGGUUCGCCGCCGCGCGUUUGCCACCACGAUGCUCACUCCACCGAUGACCGCAUUGCCAACUCAAUUUCAGGUAUGGAAGCACCAACUCCGACAAAACCUUUUUUUUCACAACCCCUUCUCCCAACUCUCCCAAGUAAACUUGGUGAUGGCAUAUUUAGCAGCAGGAAUCACAUAGUCAAGCAUUACUACAGCAAAAGAAAAAUGGAACACUGUUUUUCCGAUAAAGAAAAUGGAACACUGUAUGUAAACCAGAUUGCGUGAGUUCACAAAUAAGCCAUCAAUGAUGAUUACAGGUGACCCUUGAAAAAAAAAAGGGGAUGGUUACUGGUAGCAAAACUGAAUGUCCUAUAAUUGUCACCAGAAGUCUGCAUAGAAACGCAGCCUGCAGGUUUCGACAUAGCACGAGCAACGAUGGAUCUGUUGAUAUAUUUUUCAGAUAUCUUUUAGCCAUCAAGACGAGCAAAGUGCAAACAUAAACUACAAUGCAUGGUGAAUUUGCAGGGGAAAAAUCUAAACCAAAACUGAGGAAGCGUGCAAAGAUAAUCCUGAAGUUUGCCAUGAACGAAAAGGUGUGGCACAGACUCUUUCCCAUCAGUCAUAUUACCUGCCUGUGCGAGUUGGGACUGAAAACAGCAAACCUGAAUAUUUGUCGAACAUUUGACACAGUCUCAUAGUAAUUUGAUCGCUCCAGUAACAAGAUAAGGUGGAAUGGAUAAAAAAAAUAAUUACUACAGCAGUCCUCUCUGCUAAGAGAAUGCACAAGCCACUCAGUAUGGCUACUUCCAGAAAGUAUUUCAGCCCUAUUUAUGAUACAUAAGAAACAAUUGCAGUGUUAUCCUUUCUGCAAAAAUUCGCAGCUAGAAUGAAGCCUUUACAUCGUUUACUGAUAUCCAGAUUUACAGACAGAAUGGGAGGCGAGGGCGAUUGUGACUGCGGAUGUAGCGCACCAGAUCAUCGCUAUAGUUCUUGUGGUAAACAAUCGCGUCGCUCAGCUGCUUAAUGGCUUCUCUCUUCUCCUGCACUCUAGCUGCUAGCUCUUCUUCUUUCUCUGCCACCGUCUUCUCGAGCUGGACCAUCUUCGCUUCUGCAUCAGCUGUGUUCUUCACCAUUUCUGACACCAAUUUUUCUUUCUCUCUCAACCUGACAGCCAUCUCAUCAUUCUCCUUGACAAGCUCCUUCUGUUCAUCAAGAUGAUCAUGUAGCUUCUUCCUCAGGACAUUAAGCUCUUCACCACAUGCAGAUGAACGAUCAACGAAGAGUGCAAAACUCUGACACAAGAGUGGUUCUAGCUCGUCCAAUUUGUCAGCCAAUUCAGAGACCCCUGAUUCGGCAUGUCCUUUUACUUGCAUGAGAGUUUCUUCCAGCAAGUUGACUCUCCCAGAAAAUUGUUUUACCAGUUGUUCAAGAUGAUGGAUCUCUGCCUGUGAUGUCUCCACUGCCAUUGCGUAGCUGUCUUCUUUGCAUUUGCUUUCUGCCUCGGUAACUUUAAGCUUCUGCUUGGCUAGCUGGAGUUGAACUUCAAGGUCUUGGACAUCCUUUUGUAGCUUUGUGUUCUCCUUAUUUGCAGAUAAAUUUUCCUCUUCCAGAAGUCGAUGUUUCUCCAAAGUUUCUGUGUGUUUCUCCUCUAGUUGACCUAUCUGCUCAAUCUGAAGCCUCUUAAGUAUCUCGAGCUGGGAGACCCUCGAGGACACCUCAUCAUAUGCAUACUGAAGCCUCUGACAGCUGCUAGCAACCCCUUUCAGGCUCUGGCGGAGAACCACAAGUCCAGCCUCAUGAUCUGAAUUUUUUUGUGUAACUCUAUCUUCAAAUUCCGUCAUAAAUGACAUGUUUACUGUGCAUGCUUCAAUCAUAAUUUUUAGAUCCUCCUCCAACUUGGUCUUUUGAUAAGACAAUAGAGCGAUUGUCUUCUCCAGAUCUUUUGUUUUUGUACUCAUGUCAUCAAUUUGACAAGCUGCUUCAGCCUGAGCCUUCUCGAGAUUCUCAUGUAGGUUAGAUACUUUUAGUAUUGCCUCUUCCAACUGCUUUUCCAAGGUAGAAUUAUUUUCCAGCUGAACUGAAAGUUCAUCUUUCAGCUGUGUCACCUCAUUCGCAAGAUUUUGUACUGAAUCCUCUGAUUGCUUCAGCUUUGUUAGCACUGCAUCCUUCUCUUCUUGUGUAGCCUUAACCUCCUGCUGCAGCUCAGCCUUGGCUUGUUCUGAUUGCUCGGUCAAAGUACAAAUGAUCUUCUGUGACUCAUCAUUAGCUUGCUGUAGAGUUGAAAUGUUCUCGUUUUGGGUUUGAAGGGCAAUCUCAAGAUUUCUGACAGAAGCCUGAGACGUCUGUAACUCCAAUAGCGUUGCGUCCUUCUCUGCACGUAGUUCUGCAAUUUCAGCAUGCGUACUGCUCCUGACUUCUUCCAACUGCUUGUCCAAGGUGGAAUUGCUUUCUAGCUGAACUGAAAGAUCCUCUUUCAGUCGUGUCACCUCAUUCUCAAGAUUUUGUACUGAAGUCUGUGACUGCUUUAGUUGUGUUAGUGUUGUAUCCUUCUCUUCUUGUGUUGCCUCAACCUCCUUCUGCAGCUCAGCCUUGGUUUGUUCUGAUUGCUCAGUCAAGGUACAUAUGUUUUUCUGUAACUGAUCAUUAGCUUGAUCCAGAGUUGAAAUCUUCUCACUUUGCUUUUUUAGCACACUCUCCAAGUUUCUGACAGAAGCCUGAGACACCUGUAACUCUGAUAGAACUAUGCCCUUCUCUGCUUGUAGUUGUGCAAUUUCAGCAUGCAAACUGCUCCUGACCUCCUCCAAUUGCUUGUCCAAUAUAGCAAUGUUGUUCUUCAGAUCUUCAUUAGCUAGAUUCAUUUUUGAGAUUUGCUCUUUUCCUUGCUCCAAUUCAAUUCUAAGAUUCUUGAUAGAAGCCUCAGACUGCUGCAGAUCUGAAAUUAUUUUGUUCCUUUCAUCUUGUAAUGCUAAAAUUUCAGCAUGGUGACUAACCUUCGCCUCUUCCAGUUGCAUCUUCAGGUUGGAGUUACUAUUUUGUAGGUCUUCAUUAGAAAGCUGCAGAACAGAAAUUUGUUCAACUUGUUGUUCUAAAUUGCUUUCAAGAUUAAUAACAGAAGCAGCAGCUUCAUUUUUUUGUCCUUUUACUUCUACAAUUUCAUUAUGCAUGUUAGAAUUUGCCAGCUCCAGUUCUUCAGUAGUCUUCUGCAUAUCUGAAAUCCUCUCAAGUUGUUGUGCUAGCUCAGUCUUAAGAUUCAUCAAAGAAGCCUCUAGCUGCUCUACCUCUGAC
rnacentral:lncRNA from 1 species